rnacentral:lncRNA from 1 species
AUGUGCCCGGGUCGAGCACUGGAAGCGUGCAAUGCAGACUGAUUGAUUUAUCAGUUUGAUGUGUGCCAGGAAUGAAGAACUGGAAUAUCACCGUCAAGCAAGCACCCAGUGAAGCAAUACCAUAGAAUGCACAAUCCGGCCUUGCUAGGUGACACUGGGGGCUUUUUGAAAAGUGCUUCAUGCUCACUUGCACAGAUUGAGCAUCCCCUCUGGAUAUUGCCCUCUCUGAUCGAGUCAGAGCACUCAAAUUUCGGUCCUCAGAUGGAGCUACAGCUUUCUCUCCAAUAACCAACAAUUUUCUAAACUCAGCACCUAGUGUGAUCAGAGUUGUUGAUAUUUGUAAAUGGAGAUCCCCAUAUUUGCAAAUGGAGACAUUUAACAAAUCACCAACAUGCUUCAUCCGGUCUACGAAAUUCUGCAGCUGAUUCAAAUCCGGAACCUGAACCAGAGUCGGAGGUAAAUCUUGAGCCAUAUCUAAAGCAGUUUGAAGUUCAAGUACUUGAGCCCUCGACAGUGGUUUUGAAAUUGGAACAUCUUGAAUUACUGCAGACUUGUACCCUUUGGUUUCAAAGGUAAGGAAAGGCAUUGCUUGAGUACAAUUUGGAGGCAGCUUCUUCACCAAUUUUAUUUGGAGGCGAUUGGCAGCAGAUCCAGCUGCACCAUUUUCAGAGCAAAUACUGACACUACUUCAAACAGCACGCUGAAGAAGCGCUAUGUCUACGGCAAAGGCAAUGCAGUCCUCAUUUUGGCUUGAGAUGCGGUAAUCAUCGAAGAGAGUUUCCUUAUGAAACUGGGCAACACAUUGAAUCCCUUCACCACUGAGAAGGUUGUGGAGGAAGUACGCUUUCUCUCUAGUGAGGAAGAGGUGGCAUACCUUCCCCAUUUUGUCUAGGGCAGUUAGGAAUCUUUUUUCUAAGAGAUUUACUCCAUUCUCUGUGAGAAAUGCUUUGAACUUCAUCCCUCUGUCUCUAUCCUCACUUAUCAGUAAAACAGUUGAAAGUGAUACAAGGAGAGAAAAGGAGAGUACUAAGAUAUAUAGACAAGAAAAACAUUAGGUGUCGAUCUUACAUGUUAAUACUUCAAACAGUAUCCUAGAAAGCUAAAAACUGCAGAAUGGCUUGAAAUUUGAAAAGAACACAUGCUUUUCCUCCUUAACUUGAGAAAAUGUUUAACAUAGCGCGCCUUACAGAAGCAAGCAAUUAGAACUUUGCACAAAAACAUUCAAGAAGACCAAUAUUUCAACUAUUUUACUGAUGAAAAUCUCAAAGCACAAAUGGCAUUGCAUUUUGUCCUCAACUGUAAUAUUUAUUGAUGAAAAUCAGUACAGGUCCCUCAUUUGUUAUGGAAAGCUUUCUUGCAAAGUGACGGACAUUUCUUUCGAUUUAAAGUCUUUGCAUCACCACUUCAUCACACACCAAGCCAAUAUUCUGUCUACCUCUACAACAAAAAGUUUUAAGUAAACGAUCCUAAUGCACGCAGCCAAAUAAAAUGCAGUAAGAAUAUUCAACUUAAAAAUCUGAAAGUCAACUUGGUGAAUUGCCUUCUUAGGGGAAGUUCCAUGAUUUACUAUACUAGACAGAACUGAGCAAAAGCUUCCAUACGACAGAUUUUGACAAUAAUGAUGCCAACAGAUCCUCAUUAAAUCCAUUAAAACUCCUAAGGUUCAUUGUUCAUGGAUGUUUACAGAGUGAAAAUUAGAUCACCAGCAGCUAAUUGUAAAUUCAAACUUAACUCUUCAUCUCCUUUGUAAACAGGAAACAAAAUGGAGACACGCAAAAUGAAUAAGGAGAACAUUUGAACUCAAAUGAAAUGAGGGCACGAAAGCAAACAAAUGGCAUGCACAAACAAACCAAGCCUCAAUAAAAAACUAAUUAACCAUUAAAAAAAAAAAAAACUGGUCAGAGAAUGAACUCCAAAUUCGGUUCGGGAGUGAAGCAAGAAGCUUUAUUAUUUCAGAAGCUCCUGUACAAAUUAAUAAGUUAUGCUCUUUGGAAACAAACCUAAAUUCCAUGAGAAACAGAACUCAAAAAAUUUGCAAUUAUACGCCAAGGAAGUGAAGCACAGCAUUCUAUCACACGUACGAAUUGUAUAACAAGAGAUCGACACAUCGAAUCAGAAGAACUCAAUUCAAAUUUGUCUCAAAAAUCAAAAUUAGAAGAUUUCACAUUUCGAGAGGAACAAGGGACAGGUCAGAUGCAAAAUUUUCAGCCACAACAUGCCACAAUUAACGGUUUAUUUCCAUGGAUUUAGAGAGCUAACUGACCUUUUGGCUUUUGGAAUUGAGAAGAUCGCGCGCCAAAAUGGAAGAGGGAAAGCGAAAGUGCGGGUUUUAAUAGGGUAUUGGAUUAGCAAAUUUUAUUAGUUUGCGGGGGUAAAAUAGGAAAGAGAUAUCACUAUUAACCUUUUUUUUAUAAGAAAAAAGAAUAAUAAAGAAUAUUUUAUUGUCAUUUGCAGCCUUUAAUUUUUUUUUAAAUGCUAUUAGAAAAAUACGACGACAAAGAAAUGCUAUUUUUUUAUUUUUUUCUUGAAGGUGAAAUCAAUUAUUUAGCUCCUUAUAUGUAAUCAAACUCCAUUUCUUACUUUAAGUCAUAUCCAACGGACCAACAAAAUAAUUAUUUUUUUUUCAUUCAUUUUUGCAGAAAAUUAAUAACUUAAAAAUAUUGAAAGCUAUUGUAAAAUUUUUUAUUAUCAACCUCAUAAUUUAAUUUUUUUGGGGAAGAAUUGAAUUUUUUUUUUUAAUUUCCAAGAAUUUCAUUCUCUAGUUUUUCCAUUAAUAUUACUUAUCUUCAUACCCAUCUUAAUUAAAAUCUGUAGUUUUAUUCAAGAGUCAUGCUAUUCAUUCACUCGGACCAAAGGCUUUCCGCAGCAAUAUUAUUAUUUAAAUUACAACAAAGGGGAAAUCAAAUACGUCAUACAGAGGCUUAAAGCUCAAUCUACAAAAUCUAGAGUUCUCAACUACAUAAAUUACACUUGAUGAUCCUCUACAAGAUGAAUCUUGUUCAAUAUCUCAUCCAAAGCUUAUAAAGUAACCUUGUAACGAUCUUGAGAUUGCCUGCCUUCCUCGACGACCUGCACCAUGCGUUUGUACAAAUCAUCUGUGAUCAAGAACAUAAGAGCGUUUAACAUCUUUUCUCCAUCGAGAAAGAAUGUAGUGAGAUGGGAUCUCCUCCAUACCACUCUGGUUUAGAACACAAAGAAUGUGUCUGCAUAAAUAUCCUCUGAAAUUGAACAACCCACAAACACAAAGCACCUCCAAGUCGGAGGCAUUGUACAAAACAUCGAAAGCCCUUGAAUCUUUCUCGUUGCUACCAACCUCAAAUUCUUCCUUCACUAUGUAUGUUAUAGGUCCAUCAGCACUGACAUGUUUUGUGCUAUAGCAAGAGUACAUAGCCUCCACCUCCAUCUGAAACUUCCUUAACAUUUCAUUUGUGUACAGUUUUGAGAGUUGAAAUUCAUAGGAACAUCUUGGUUUCUGGAUACAACUUGAAUUUCUUGAAUCCAUAUCUGCCAAGGCUUCCAGUUGAUAAUUCGCCUGCAGUGCUUGAUCAUAUUUGUCUAAGUAUUCUUUCAAAGGAGUAUUCUUAUCAAGAUAUCCUUCAAAGUAUGAAGUAGAAACCUCACUCUGCAGGAAUGAAAACACUCCUGAUAAAAAUGUUUCCUUCAAAUAAACAGGAGCCCAACUUUUACGAUCCUCAUAUAAAGUUUGAAUCCAUCCAUGAUCCCUUAUUCCAUGACGUUGAAUCGUGUCCUCCCAAGCUGUCUCAAAUUCCUCAGGCCUAAGAGAGUGACAAAUUGCUCUAUGCAAUGCAGCUCUAAUAGCUUCAUAUUCAAAAUAUCCUUGGAGAUUCUCUGGAAUUUUUUGCAUGACGCAUGACAAUGAAAAACAAUGAUAAGCUCUUGGGAAAACAUCGCCGACAGCAGUUUGCAAGAUCUACAUUGGUCAGUGAUGAUUGUUUGUGGAGAGCGUCCUAACAUACAUGUAAGCCACACCCUAAACAACCAUGUAUAUGAUUCUAUAGUCUCACCGGCAAGUAAACCACAGCCCAACAGCACUGAUUGUCCAUGAUGAUUCACCCCAAUGAACGAAACCAGCGUUGCAUCAUAUCUUUCUGUCAAGCAUGUAGUAUCAAUUGAUUUGAGCUAUUAACAUCAUUUCCAAAUACUCCAUUGGCAUCUACAUUACCAUUUCCCUCGGCAUCAAUGAUAAGAGUUCGAAACAGUCUAAUCUUUUGAACUUCUUCAGCACCAUCUAAGAGCAAUGUUCUUUUGGUUCCAAUACCCAUGUGCUUAUGAGACUUGUAAAACUUCCCGCUUCUUGGGCUUAACAAGUGGUUAUGCUCAAGCUCGACUUCAAUGAUUCUCCACCUUUUGGUUUCCAUCAACCUAAACUUUAUCAUUGCUGGACAGCCCGUUCUUGUUUCUGGUCUUGGGCGGUUUGCCUCGCUUUUCUUCUUGAAGCCUGCAUUACUACAGCUGAGCUUUCCUUUAUACUUUUCUCUACUCUUUUGGUACCAUGUAUUGCUAACUCCAACACCAAAACCCUGUUCCUUGGCAUAGCAAUUAUAAAAGUAAUAUACGUCAUCAUACGUCUCAAACUCCAUUCCAACAGCAGGAGGCAAUGGAUUUUGGAUUAUCCCAGUUUGUCCAACAUAUUCAGUCAUCGCACAAUCUCCUACGACCUCAAAAUCAUCAGCUUCAUCAUCACCUACUGGUUCAGUAUUCAGAGAAACUUCAUCCAUCUACAAUAGAUGUUUAAUGAAGUGAGCUUUAAGGAGAAAAAGCAAAAUCAGUUCAAGGAAAGAUAAUAUAACCAUACAGUUACUUUCACAAAGCUGCGUAUUUCAUCAAUACUUUAACAACAUACAACUGCCUGAGAACAUAUAGACAUGUCAUAGACGUUUGAAUUAAGUAUUGGUACAAAUUAGCACACAUCAUGUGGGACACAAUUUCAGUCACUAAACCCAAUGCCUUUUUUUUUUCACAUCAUACCAAGGAACGGAUUAAACCCAAUACCUUCUUUUACGCCAUACCAAAGAACAGAUUAAAUCAUCAAUGAAAAUUUAAUCAAAUAAUAAUUUAACUAGACAAUUGAAGAGCUUGAAACAGCACAAAACUUGAAUCUGAUUAUGAUAAUUGUUGAGUCCUUGUAUCCACAGCUUUCCUUCAAUGAGAAGAUUAUGAACAUAAACUACACAUAAAAAAAUUAUUUAAACUGACAGCCCAUGAUAUAAAUCAAACAAAAUUAACUCCUUUUACAAAUCACAUCUCGUAUUCAGUUACAUUGAAACACAAAAAAGGAAGCAGGAGCCGGAGAAAAACAACAACAGAGAAACUUAUUUCCAGAAGGUUUACGAAAUAAGGAAUUUAUUAAGACACAAAAUUUGAGGUCAACAAUAAGAAUUUGGUUCUCAUUCUCUUUUUCUUCAUUUUUCACUUAUUGAUGGAGUUAGCGUACAAUCCUAUAUGAUAAAACCCCAUCUCCAUCUUUUUGAACUAGAGCUAAAGCAAAGCAUUUUAAGAUGUUUUUCCCUAAAAGACUCAAUAGUACAAUGCUUUUCAAUAUUAAAUACACAACUCAAUCUUCCCCUAAUUUACUCUAAUAAUCUCUUAACUAAGGAAGAUUAAGCUCCACUUGUAAGCUAAAACAAGUUUCUUAAAUCAAGCCCCAAUGCUCUAUACUAUUCAACAAGGCCUCAUAAAUGAUAAAACUACCUCUGCAAAGAUACCCAUUUUAAUUUCGCAAACUAAAAUCAAACUUCUGAAACGUAACGAGCAUUAAAACAAACAAGUCCGAACAAGAACUGAAAAAUGAUACGUAAACCCGUUUACACGUUUCGACAAACACUUUCCAAUCAAUGAGCAAAAAGGUUAAUGGAAAACAUGAAAUUCAAACAAAACAUACCUUAGGUUGAUAAAUUAGUAGGGCAAAAGAAAUUUUAGCGAGAUAUGGGAUCAGGGAUUUUGCCACGGUGAUGUUAAUUGCGACAUUCGGGUGACUCAGCAGCCUUCGAGGCUGAAACUUUGAUUGACCAAAAGGUUCCCGUUCGUUGAUUCUCUAAUUGCAGAAACGAAACUGGCAGUGUACAGAAAAAGUACGCUGAUUUGAUAAUUCUGUGAAAAUCAUUGUUUUUUUCAGAUUUUAAUGUGUUCGAUAAAAUAUCAAAAUCUCAAAAACUUUUGUCUUUCAUUUUGGGGGGAAAAACACACUGAGAUCCUUAUGUUUUUUCUUAUAUAAUCUGGCUUAAUAAUUUGCAAAGUCUAUUACUUUGCACCCAUGCAUGCUGCGUUACAAUUUACAAAAUUGUACGUGAGUGCAUCCAGCUAAAAUUUGUAAAAAGAAAAUAACAAUAACAUGUUAAAAAUGUGAUUAUUAUGAAGAAAUUUUAAUUUAGUUAAAUAGGUGACGAUGGAUAGGUAUAAAAUCUGAGAUCUUUUAUGAGAUUAAUAAAUAUGUUGAGUUUGGAUUAGUUCAAUUUUGACAUAAUACAGAAUAAACACAACCUGCUAAUCUAAGUUACCAUCUUUUCCCGUCAUCAGGUACCUGUUUGAAAAAUAAUUAUAUACAAUUUUAUUUGCGUUGUCUCUCUAAAAAUUUGGGACUCAAAUGUUAUUUCUAAUUGCUAAAAGUACGAAAAUGCCCCAUUUCUCUUCAGCUAAAGGAGUGCAAAGUCAUCUGUAUAAUUGAAGCUGCAUCAUCAGUUUCUAUUGCUGGUGUUUACUGCAUGCUUACAGUUGCUUGACAAAGUGAGCCAGUUUUUUGUUUAUUAAUUUUUUUUCUUGUCGAGAUAGUCACAAAGUAUUACUUGUUCUAUAUAAGAAUGAUGUGAAUCAAUUUUUCAAUUAUGCAUUCUGUGGUAAUUGUGAAUUUAGUUUCAUUUGUCUUGUCUCCUGCAAAUUUUGAAGAAAAUGCAGACAUACAAACUUACAAUACGGAAGAGUUCACAGGCAAAAACUUUGUGAAAGCUUCCAAGUGAAACAGGGAAUGCGCUUACUAGUAAAGAACAAAUUGGUGGCCAGCUAAUGCAUUCAUUCUAUGUCCAUUGAUCUUUUUGAGUUAUUGAAGACAAGUGGCUCACCGCUUUUAGUAUUGGUAAAAUUCAGAUAAUCUCUAUUCCGAAAUAAUAAUAUUCAAAAUAUCUCUUAAAUCAUUAUAAACCUCAAAUUUAUUUUAAUUUUAUUUAAAAGAUAAAAGAAAAAUAGGUUAUGUUGGUGAUUUUUUAUUAUCUUUUUAAUAAAAAUGAAAUAAAUUGAUGUUUAUAAUUAAUUAAAGUAUUUUAAAGAUUGCCAUUUUAUGAGAGAAUAAUAUUUCACUUUUUUUAGUGUGAAAGACCGAAAAAGGACAAAGCAAGUUUCCCUAAUUUUUAUUUUAUUCGAAAUUGGUCAUCUCAUAUACUUCACCCUUCAACAUUAUAAUUUUUUUGGUUAUAAUUUUAUUAUUUUUUUUUCUUUUACACAUGCAUGUGAAUUACUUUUCUUUAAGCUCCUGAAUAUUUAAGACAAAUCAUGGAAGAGAUGAGAGUAUAACAAGAUGAUCAAAAUAUGUAACAAAAAAAUUUUAGAAGUGAAAAAUAUGUUAGAGUCGAAGUAAAACUCUGAGGUGAUGUUUGAUUUGAAGAAAAUGGAGGAGAGGAAAUGAGUGGAAUGGAGAGGAAAAGAGAGAAAAGGAGAGGAGAGGAGAGUGAAAUUUUUUUCUAAUGUUUGGUUUGUCACAUAAUUAUACAAAGAAAAGAAAUCUCUAAUUUUUUAUUUAGACAAUUUUAACCUUAAUAAGUAUUAAGCUUUCAAUAUUUAUCAUGUGUAUAAUUUAAAAAAAGUAAAUGGUAGAAAGCGGUUUCUGAUUCCGGCCACAUCGCCGGCAAUGGAAGGUACUUAUCAGAACAUCAAGAGCCGACCAUCAUUCCCUAGCCAUCACUGCUGUCGGAACACUGCCAGAAAGCUGCCGAUUGAACCGCAAAAAGUCGUGGAAAUCGCUGCCUCAAAUCGGUGAGUUUCGCCUUUUUCUGGUCACGCCGUCACCUUGGCUUUGUCCAUCAAGGCUGCCACUUCCAUUUUCAACCAUCCAUAGCCACUAUUAACGGCCAAAUCGCCGCCGAUCAGCGGGAUAUGUGGAAGUUAAAAAGUUUCUAAAUUUUUUUUAACUGGAUUUGAACAACAUACGACCAUUUUUUGAUCUCGAUAACGACGUAGUAAUGUUGAUCAUUGGUCGGCAAGUCGAAUGGUAGUGGCGGUGAGUAACACGCGCCAAUGACAUCGGCGGCGGCACUAUCCGGCGACUGUUAAAAUUAAUAUUUUAUAUUUUUAGAUUAAAUAAAUUUAUUUUAUUAAACUUUUUAAAUCAUUAUUUAAAUUUAAUUAAUUUAAAAUUAUCUAUAAUGUUGAAUUGAUAAAAUAAAUUUAUAAAUAAUAAUUAUGUGAUUACAUUAAAUAAGUUAAAAAGUUGAAAGGUUAUUUUUGGAAGAUUUAGUUUCCAACACAAAGGGAAUUUGAAUUCUUCACUUCUUAGUGUGGAAUUCAAAUUCUAUAUUGUAAUGGAUAUUAAAUUCCAAUAGAAAUUAAAUUCUUAUAAGUUAUGUCAAACCAAACAACGGAAAUAAAAAAGGAAUUUAAAUUACUUUCCUUUCCUCCACCCUCUCCUUCCAACCAAAUACAUCCUGAAAAUAGAGAUAUUGAUUAAUUUAGAAGAGAUGCAAGCAAAAGAUAUUCCAAAAAAAAAAAGCAAUAUGUCCCUUUGGAGGGCAAACUUGUCAGUUUUAAAAAAGUACAUGCUUUGGAUUGAUAGUUGUAGGAUAUUUGUUUUGUCACUAUGUAUUAGUUGGAGAAGUCAAGCCUUGUGAAGAAUGUUAUGAAAGAGCAAAUGUUAGAGUACAAUUUAUGCACUAGUUUUGCAUUGUUUACUUCCAUUAAUAUCGAUGUUUUGCACUUAAUAAUAGUGAUUUACUUGUGUUUUACUUUUGUAGGUGCAAUUCUAUUGAUUGGUGAUAAAAUUGAGCUAUAAGAUGAUGUUUAAGGAUGAUUGUUCUCUUGGAGAAAUUUAGAACGUCAGAAGAACUUUGUUGAUAAGGCAUGGGCGCGUGCUGUCAACUGCGGACCUGCAGUUUUUAGUUUAACGUGUUUUGUAUUUUUGGUUAUUUUUGUAAUUACGAAUUUAAUAUUUCAGAUAUUAGUAUUUUAUUUUAAAUAGAAUUCUAAAAGAGAGGAGAGAGAGAGUAUUUAAGGGAGGAAUCUAUUGUGAAAAAUGGGGAUUUUGGAUUGGAGAAAGAAAGAAACCCUAGAUCUAAUUUUUCUCUUCUCUCUAUGAAGAACUAAACUUAUUUUUCUGGUUGAAGGUUAAUGAAGCUUUGAUUCAUCACUACUGUGAGAUCUUUCUUGUGCUUUAAUUGUUUUAUUGCUUUUUGGGUAUUUGUUUAUUCUCUGAAUUAUUUUCAUGAUUAUGUUUGUUAAUUAGAUAAUUGGCCACUAUUUAAUUAUCAACUUAAUCUAUUGUCAAUUAAAGGAUUCAUCGUAUGAAGAAUUUAAUGUUUGUGACAAAUAACAUAGCAGAGAGUUGUGUUGUGAGAAUAAACAAUCUAAUUUAAAUGAAUCAUCAUAUGUGUUGAUUAGGAUUUGGGUCUCUCUGGUUUUUCAGGCUGACAUUGAUUAAAUCCUAUGAUCGUAUCUAGGGUUGUCUAUUGAUUAGGGAAAUAACCAACGGUCGUACCUUGGUUAUCGACUAGUUAAGGAGAGAUUGGCUAUUAGAGGUUCUCAAUAGUUAUAACCGAUCUAUUCAUAAGUAAUAAUAAUCUAUAUUUGAAUCAAUGAUCAGUAGUCGAAUCAAGCUGAGUUAAUUCCUUCAACCAGAGCUUUCUCCAAUUUGAAUUACAACUUUAAUUUGCAUUCUUGUUAUUUUGAUUUGAUUUUUAUUAUUGUCAACAAUUCCCUCAUUUUACGUUUUACGUUUCAAAAGGAUUUAAAUAAUUACCGAUCUCUGUGGACACGACCCUGCUCAAUCACUAUACACAAUUUAUUUAGAGUAUGAAUUUAUUUUUAUUGGCUUCGACACCCAUCAGCAAAGGAUAUUCCUGAUAGCUGAUAGAGCUCUAUUUGAUUAUGUAUCCAAUGAAUGGAUGUGUUGUUGGAAGAUAUCUGAGUGCAUUAGUUCAUAUGUGUCUGUCAAUGUGCUUUUAAUGAUUUUUCCACUUGUUUGUUGUAAAAGAUUAUUGUAAAUUGAAAUGAGCUUGAUGUUGUAAUAUUUUUUCCUUAGUGGAAUUUCACCUAGUAUGUAUUCAGUUGUGUUCUCUAUAAUUUUGCAUUCGAAUAAGUUUCACCUAAAAUAUUAGCAUGAGUAGUGGCCUUUGAAACUUUGGUCAAAAUUAUUGUUAUUAUUUCCGACUAGAUGUAAAUUUUUUAUUAAAUCUCGUUAACACAAUUCUUAAUUAAAAGUAUAGGUUAGUGUUGGUGCAAGAUUUGCCACACCAAAUUCUGCCUAGCUGUCAAAAGUGCAAAAUAAAUGAAGAGAAAGCACAAAUACACGACUUGAAUAAGGAUACAACGAAACUUAAUUUCAAGAGAAAAUGAUAGCUAUAUCUCAAGAUUUGAAAAAAUGGUCAUGUAGAUUUUUAAGAUUUCAAUAAGCGACUGAGAUUCAAAUAAUAUCCUUUAAUUCUAUUAACAAAAAACAAAGACUCAAAUAUUUUAUGAUAAAGAAAAAUAUAAUAUUAAAAUAUAUGUGAUAAUAUACACAUUUUAAAUACUUUUAAUCCAAAAAAAUAGUUAUGUUUUACAAUCUAUUAGACAUAUUUUAUUAAAUUAAUAUAAAUUUUCUAUAAAAUAAUAAUAUAAUAUUAAAAUAAAUUCACAAAAAUUUAAAGAAUUUUGAAUGUAAAAUAAUUUUAAUAUAUUAAUACGUGAGUUUUUUAUUAAUAUAAAAAUUAUUUAACUUUAAGAUUUUUUAAAAUCUUUACAAUAAGUAUAACUAUAUUAUUUACAUUUAAAAAUAUUUAAAUAUUAUUAACCUACAAUUAUAUUUGCAUUUGUUAGAAAUUUUUUAAGUCAAAUAUUUUGCACUUCUAUAUUAUUAGAAUUAUUGCACACAAAGAAAGAAACAUAUACCUUUAGAAAUUGUUUUCUUUUAAAAUAGAGAUGAUGAUUAGUAUAAGGAUGAAAAAAAGGAUAUUAACGAAAUCUCUAUACAAAUUGAUUUUAGUAGGAAAAAAAUGAGUUAAAUGAUUUAGAGUGCGUUUGGAAUUGAGAUUGGGCAGUCAUAGAUUUUAAGUUACAACACUGAAGUGUUUGGUAAAUACUAGCUACUGCAGAUUGAAAGUUAUGUUGAUAUGAUUUUUCACAUGUAUCAUAGAAAAUAUAUUACAUCUUUAAUAAUUUUUUUAAAAUUUAUAUUUGCUAUAUAUUAUUAUUAUUUUUUUUUAUAGUUAUAACUUUUUUUCCAUAGCAGCUGUAGCUUAAAAGCCACAGCACCUCAAUCUCAAACAAGUCCUUAGACAUUCAUAGUGUGUUUAUUUUUUGGAUUGGUGAAUCAAAAUUAUUGACAACGCUAACUUCAUCUUCACCGUUCGCAAUCCAACAGCAGCAAUUGUCACCAAUAAUGAUAUCUCCAAUGAUGAUGACAAUUAUUAUUAUUAUUAUUAUUAAUUAAUUAAUUAAUUAAUUAAUUAAUUAAUAUAUUAAUGUUAAUAUUAUUAUUGUUAAGAUUAACAAUAAUUAUUAGUAAUACAAUUUUUUGAAUAAAAAUAAUCACAAUAAUUAAAAUACAAAUUAAUAAUUAUGACAAUAGUUAAUUAAUUUCUUUUUAGUAAUUUGUAACAAUCUAACUCAUUUUAAUUCUGAUUAUUACAGCUUAAGUAAACAAAUUAUUAUGAUUCCUAUUCUCCUUUCCCAUUUUAGCUCACUUCGAUUCCAGUCUAUUCCGAUUUCUAUCUAAUAAAUGCACCAUUAGUGCUAAAGUAAUAUUUCAUACAUAGAAAAGUAAAAACUACACCUAAGGUUAAGGGAAAGGACUUCAAAACUCUCUUUUGAUCAUAAUACAUUUUGUCCUAAUUAACUUAAAGAUUUUGAAUCUAAUAUUUUAUAAUAAAUAAAAAUAUAUUCCUAAAAUAAAUAUAAUAUCAAUAUUUAAAAUAUGUUUUAAUAUUUUACAAUCUAUCAUACACAUUUUAUUAUAUUAAAGUAGAUUUAUAAUAAAUAUAUAAAAAAUUUAGAAUAUUUAGAAUAUUAUAUAAAAUAAUUUUAAUAUAAUGCGUGAGAUAUAUUUUAUUAAUUUAAAAUGUCAUUUUACCUAAAAAAUAUGAUAAAUUAAUAAUUACAUAUUUGAAGUUAUUUCAAAUAUUAAAAAAAUUUAAUAUUAUUAAUCUUUUAGAUAGAUUAAAUUAUUUUUCAUAAGAGAGAUUAAUCUUUUACUAAAAUUUCUCUUCCACAGCCCACCGCAGCUUCAGUUAAUCAAACUCCAUCAAUUUUCUUUCUUAACAAAAUUCUAAAGAUGUGUAGCAUUUUUCAGAUCACAUGCGAUGGUGCUUUUUUCAAUCGUUGCUUGGAUUGCUUUCUUGGAAAAGCAGCAUACAUACGUAACCUCCAAGAUAAUCUUGAUGCCUUGGAGACUGAAUUGGGAAAUCUGAUCGCUAGAAAGAACGAUGUGAUGAGGAGGGUUGUCGAUGCUGAACGGCAACAAAUGAGAAGGCUGGACGGAGUGCAAGUGUGGGCUUCGAGGGUGGAUUCUGUUAAAACUGAAGCUGAUCAAUUUAUAAGAGACGGCUCUCGAGAAAUUGAAAAAUUAUGUGUUGGAGGCUACUGUUCCAAGAAUUGCAUGUCAAGCUACAAGUUCGGGAAAAAAGUGGCUAAAAAGCUACGGGAUGUGCGGUCUUUAAUCAGUGAAGGAGUUUUUGAAGUGGUGGCUGACAGAGCUCCAGAGUCUGUAGCAGAUGAAAGACCUACUGAGCGAACAGUAGUAGGCUUGCAAUCACAACUUGAACAAGUCUGGAGAUGUCUUGUAGAAGAAUCAGCGGGAAUCAUUGGCCUAUAUGGUAUGGGCGGUGUUGGUAAAACUACACUACUGACCCAUAUCAACAAUAAAUUUCUCGAGAGUCCAACCAACUUUGAUUGUGUGAUUUGGGUUGUAGUUUCAAAAGACCUGCGACUCGAAAAAAUUCAAGAAGAUAUUGGGAAAAAGAUAGGUUUGGUUGGUGAUUCAUGGAAGAGUAAAAGUGUAGAGGAGAAAGCUGUCGACAUCUUCCGGAGUUUAAGAGAGAAGAGAUUUGUAUUGUUGUUAGAUGAUAUAUGGGAGCGGGUUGAUUUAACAAAGGUGGGCAUUCCACUUCCCGGACCAAAAAAUACUACCUCAAAAGUCGUAUUCACAACCCGUUUCAUCGAUGUUUGUGGUAGCAUGGAAGUUGACAGGAAGUUUCAAGUAGCAUGCUUAUCAGAAAAGGAUGCUUGGGAACUGUUUCGAGAAAAAGUUGGGGAAGAAACUCUUCAGAGUCAUCAUGAUAUCGAUGAGCUAGCCCAAAUUGUGGUCAAAGAGUGUGGUGGUUUGCCACUCGCACUUAUUACUAUUGGUCGAGCUAUGGCCUACAGAAAGAAAGCGGAGCAGUGGAGACGUGCAAUUGAAGAGUUAAGGAGAUCAGCUUCAGAGUUUGCAGGUUUGGGAAAAGAGGUGUAUCCUCUUUUAAAAUUCAGCUAUGAUAGUUUGCAGAAUGAUACGGUUAGAUCUUGUUUCUUGUACUGUUGUUUAUAUCCUGAAGAUUAUGGCAUUCUUAAAUGGGACUUGAUUGAUUGUUGGUUUGGCGAGGGAUUUUUUGGGGAAUCUGACAGGUCUGGUGCAGAAAACCAAGGAUAUGACAUUUUGGAAACUCUUGUUCGUGCAUGUUUAUUAGAAGAGGUGGAAGAUGAUGAAGUAAAAAUGCAUGACGUUAUUCGUGAUAUGGCUAUAUGGAUAACUUGUGAAAUUGAGAAGGAGAAGAGAAACUUUUUGGUUCGUGCAGGUGCUGGAUUAAAAGAGGCACCGGGUGUUAAAGGAUGGGAAAAUGUGAGAAGAUUGUCAUUGAUGCAAAACCAAAUUGAAACUCUGGCAGAGGUUCCCACAUGCCCUCAUCUCCUCACUUUAUUUUUUGACUUUAAUAAGGAGUUAAAGAUGAUCGCGGAUGGCUUCUUCCAAUUUACGCCUUCUCUCAAAGUUUUGAAGAUGUCAAACUGUUUGAAUUUGAAAUUACCUAUUGGGAUGUCAGAGUUGGGUUCAUCACUAGAACUUCUCGAUAUUUCAUAUACCGGCAUAAGAGAGUAACCGGAAGAGUUAAAGUUGUUGGUAAAUCUGAAAUGUUUGAAUUUGAGGUGGACAAUUUGGUUAAAUAAAAUUCCACGGCAACUAAUAUCAAAUUAUUCAAGGUUACGUGUGUUGAGAAUGUUCGCUACUGGCUUGGGCAUUUUUCAUGAAGCACCAGAAGACAGCGUUUUAUUUGGUGGGGGUGAAGUUUUAGUACAGGAAUUGCUCGGUUUGAAAUAUUUAGAGGUAUUGGAGUUGACCUUGGGAAGUUAUCAUGCUCUCCAAAUUCUUUUGAGCUCAAAUAAGUUAAAAAGUUGUAUUCGAUCUCUUUACCUCGAGUUGACCGGAGAUACAGCGUCAAUUAUUGAUGCUACGGCUUUCGCAGAUCUAAACCACCUCAAUGAAUUAUAUAUUUUUAAAGGUAUUGAGUUGGAAGAAUUGAAGAUUGAUUAUACGGAGAUAGUACGAAAAAGGCGGGAACCUUUUGUUUUCCGCAGCCUUCACUGUGUUAUUAUGGUUUCGUGCCGUAAAUUGAAAGAUGUGACAUUCCUCGUUUUUGCUCCAAACCUCAAGUCUCUUUUGGUAGACGGUUGCGAUGCUAUGGAAGAAAUAAUCAGCGUCGGAAAAUUUGCUGAGACUCCUGAGAUGAUGGGACAUAUAAGCCCUUUUGAAAAUCUCCAAAUGCUUGAUUUAACGGCAUUGCCGGAGUUGAAGAGCAUCUACUGGAAGCCAUUGCCUUUCACUCAUCUGAAAGAAAUGGAGGUACUUAGGUGCGAUCGGCUUGAAAAGCUUCCACUCGAUUCCAACAGUUCAAAGGAGCGUAAAUUUGUUAUUUGUGGAUACACAAAGUGGUGGAACCGACUUCAAUGGGAGGAUGAAGCCACUCAAAUUGCUUUUCGUUCCUGUUUCCAACCAAUGGGAGUACUGAGCGGUGGUCGCAAAAUUUGAUUUCUGGUGAGUGCGUUUUUGUUAACGCUUAUGUUUUUAUUCCAGUGUGUUUUUCUUCUGUCUUCUGCAAAUCAAUGCUUUAUAAAUUUUCCUUUUCCCUUUUUUUUUGGGGGGGGGGGGGGGGGCGUGGGUCGAAUUGAUGCUCUGGUUUUUUACUUUUUGUUGUCAAAUUUGGCCUUUUUUUUUUUUUUUUUUUUUUACAAGUUGAUACUUUAUUUAUAUCUUCUUAGCGAUUUAAUUUCCUGUCAAAAGACGAGCGAGAAGAACAUAUGACUUAAAGCAAUUGAUACUUUAUUUAUGUGCAUUGUAUGUAAUAAAUAUUAAGUAUACUUUAUUUUGCCCUGUUCUCUGUUUUUAUUUCAGUCUCUCUCUCGCUCUCUCUCUUUCCUGUCUUCUGCAAGUCAUAAUUAAAUGUUGAAUUAUAUGGAAUUAAUGCUUUAUAAAUCUGCCUGCGCUGGCUUUUUUUUUUUUUUUUGUGGGGUCGAAUUGAUGCUCUGGUUUUCGACUACUUUUUGUUGUCAAAAUUUUCUCUGUUUUUUCAAAUUUAUAUCUUAUUCGUGAAAAGUGAUUUAAUUUCCUGCCAAAAGACGAACGAGAAGAACAUUAGAGUCAAACUAAUGCUCACAUAAAUUUCCCGUAAGAAUAUAUAAUUAGACUGGAAUGCACACCUCUAGAUUGAACAGAAUUAAAGCUGAGAAAAUAUUGAGUAUAGUAGCCCUCUUUACAGAAAAUGACGCGAAAGUUAAUUUAGAAAGAUAUAUUCUCGAUUAAUCCAUUUUCUGAAUUUUUUUUUUAUUUUGUAUGGUCAAUUUUUUUUUUAAAUUACAACCUCAUAGUCAUGCUAUUCAUUCACUCACAGACCAAAGGCUUUCCGCAGCAAUAUUAUUAUUUAAAUUACAACAAAGGGGGAAUCAAAUACGUCAUACAGAAGCUUAAAGCUGAAUCUACAAGAUCUAGAGCUCUCAAGAUGAAGCUUGUUCAAUAUCUCAUCCAAAGCUUGUAAAGUAACCUUGUAACGAUCUUGAGAUUGCCUGCCUUCCUCGACGACCUGCACGAUGCGUUUGUACAAAUCAUCAUACUUGUGCACUGGAUUUUUAAUAUCAACGCCACUGCAGCUGUGAUCAAGAACAUGAGAGCGUUUAACAUCUUUUCUCCAUCAAGAAAGAACGUAGUGAGAUGGGAUCUCCUGCAUGCCACUCUGGUUUAGAACACAAAGAAUGUGUCUGCAUAAAUAUCCUCUGAAAUUGAACAACCCACAAACACAAAGCAUCUCCAAGUCAGAGGCAUUGUACAAAACAUCGAAAGCCCUUGAAUCUUUCUCGUUGCUACCAACCUCAAAUUCUUCCUUCACUAUGUAUGUUAUAGGUCCAUCAGCACUGACAUGUUUUGUGCUAUAGCAAAGAGUACAUAGCCUCCACCUCCAUCUGAAACUUCCUUAACAUUUCAUUUGUGUACAGUUUUGAGAGUUGAAAUUCAUAGUAACAUAUUGGUUUCUGGAUACAACUUGAAUUUCUUGAAUCCAUAUCUGCCAAGGCUUGCAGUUGAUAAUUGGCCCGCAGUGCUUGAUCAUACUUGUCUAAGAAUUCUUUCAAAGGAGUAUUCUUAUCAAGAUAUCCUUCAAAGUAUGAAGUAGAAACCUCAUUCUGCAGUAACGAAAACACUCCUGAUAAAAAAGCUUCCUUCAAAUAAAUAGGAGCCCACCUUUUACGAUCUUCAUAUAAAGUUUGAAUCCAUCCGUGAUCCUUUAUUCCAUGACGUUGAAUCAUGUCUUCCCAAGCUGCUUCAAAUUUCUCAGGCCUGAGAGAGUGAUAAAUUGCUCUAUGUAAUGCAGCUUUAAUAGCUUCAUAUUCAAACAAUCCUUGGAGUUUCUCUGGAAUUUUUUGCAUGACGCUUUCCUUCAAUGAUAAGACAAUGAACAUAAACGAGACACAAAAAAAAUUAUUUUAAACUGACAGCCCAUGAUAUAAAUCAAACAAAAUCAACUCCUUUUUUUACACAUCACAUCUCAUAUUCAUUUGCAUUGAAGCACAAAAAGGAAGCAGGAGUGGGAAAAAAAAAACAACAGCAGAGGAACUUAUUUCCAUAAGGUUUAGGAAAUAAGGAAUUUAUUAAGACACAAAAUUUGAGGUUACCAAUAAGAAUUUGGUUCUCAUUAUUUUUUUCUUCAUUUUUCACCAAUUGAUGAACUUAAAAUACAAUCAUCAAUGAUAAAACCCCAUCUCCAUCUUUUUGAACUAGAGCUAAAGCAAAGCAUUUUAAGAUGUUUCAUCAUUUUUUUUAAUAAAAAAAAACCUCAAUAGUACAAUGUUUUUCAAUGUUAAAUGCACAACUCAAUCCUCUCCUAAUUUACUCUAAUAAUCUCUUAAUUAAGGAAGAUUAAGCUUCAGUUGUAAGCUAAAACAAAUUUCUUAAAUCAAGCCCCAAUGCUUUAUGCUAUUCAACAAGGGCUCAUAAAUGAUAAAACUACUUCUACAAAGAUACCCAUUUUCUAAAUUAAUUUCAAAAACUGAAAUCAAACUCCUGAAACGUAACGAGCAUUAAUAUAAUCAAACCCGAACAGGAAUUGAAAAAUGACACAUAAACUCGUUUACACAUUUCGACAGACACUUUGCAAUCAAUGAGCAAAAAAUUAAUGGAGAAGAUAAAAUUCAAACGAAACAUGCCUUACAUUGAUAAAUUAGAAGGGCAAAAGAAAUUUUAGUACGAUAUGGGAUCAGGGUCUUGCCACGGUGAUGUUAUUUGUGAUGUUCGAGCGACUCAGCAGCCUUCGAGGUUGAAAAUUUGAUUGACCGAAAGCUUCCCGUUCGUUGAUUCUCUAAUAGCAGAAACGAGACUGGCAGUAUACACAAGAAGUUCGCUGAUUUUAAAUUCCGUUGUUUGAGAUGGAAAUUUUUUUGAAAAAAUUAAUGUGUUCGAUGAAUAUCAAAAUCUCAAAAACUUUUUGUUUCUCAUAGCACCCAUGCAUGAUGUGUUGUUUCUCUAAAAGUUUGAGACACAAAUGUUAUUUCAAAUUGAAACGCCAUGCACUAGUAGUAGACUAGUAGGUAGGAGAAACCAAGGUUGAAGUUACUGUUCAUUUAUUUUUAUUUAUGAUUUUUUGUAAAAUGUAAGAAAUAUGUAGAAAUGUUGCCAGCAAUGAUUUUGGAACUUUGCAUAAAAUUUUUAUCAUUAUUGUUUUUGGUAUUAAGAAAUCCGAGGCGGUGAUUAGACGUAUGUUGCAACAAUUAAGAAAUUUCUUAUUGGAGAUAAUUUGGUAGGUUGCAACAAUUAGAGAAUCAUUUUCCUGUCAGUUAAUCAAUCAAUAAUAAAUUUCAAAUUGCAGAAAAUAAAAUAAUACUGUCACACUUAGAAUCAUCUUUUCUAUCUCUUUCAAUUGUGGCAAUCAUUUGUAACAAAUAAAUCAAUUUGAUGCACAUCAUUUCCCCAAUUCAAAGUUCAAGUCACUGCUCAAUUGCAGAGUAGUUAGUAGACAUGCAUGCAUGUUUAAUUAAGUACUGCAUUGUAGUAUCGAAAAUCAUAAUAUCUCACCAAGCCCGGAAGCAUAGCUCUUUAUCUUGUAAACGUUGAAAUCUUAUGCAAACUAUGGGAAACAUGAUCUCACUCUCAGUGUCACUUGAUUCCAUUUUCUGUUCUUGCCUUGAUUUCGAUGUUGGGAAUGUGACGUCUGAGUCCAAGGUUGAAGAUAAUCUCGAUGCCUUGCGGACUGCAAUGGAAAAAUAAGCGGAAACGAGAAAUGAUGUGAUAAGAAGAGUUACUGUUGCUGAAGGACAACAUCAAAUGCAACGAAUGGAUCGAGUGCAGGGCUGGCUUUCAAGGGUAAAAGCUGUGGAAAAUAAAGCUGAUGAUUUGAUGAGACACAGCUCUCAAGAGAUUGAGAAGUUAUGCCUUGGAGGCUUCUGUUCCAAGAACUGCAAAUGAAGCCACAGCCGUGGGAUAGAAGCUGCUACAAUGCUACGAGUUGUGGAGACUUUAAUGGGUGAAGGAUCAUUUGAAUUGGUGGCUGAGAGGGUGCCAGAAGAUGCAGCAGACUGAGCAGAGGAGAUAAAUUGUGAGUCAACAAUAAUGGGCAUGGUGUCGACUUUUGAGAAAGCCUGGAGAUGCCUUGAAGAAGAAUCAGUUGGAAUUAUUGGCCUAUAUGUCAAUGGGAGAGUUGGAAAUAUUUACUCAAAUCAACAACAAGUUCCUUGAUAGUCCAAAUAAUUUUGAUGUUGCAAUCUGGGUAGUGGUCUGCCAAGAUUUGCAACCCCAGAAGUUUCGGGAAAAGAUUGGGAAAAAGAAAGGCUUGUUCGAUGAGUCAUGGAAGAACUGAAGUUUUGAAGAGAAAGCACUCGAUAUAUUCAAGAAUUUAAGCAAGAUGAAGUUUGUAUUACUGCUGGAUGAUAUAUGGGAGCAGGUUGAUUUAAUUAAAAUUGGUGUCCCUCUUCCAAGCACAAAAAUUACAUUCAAGAUAGUCUUCACAACUCCUUCUAUUACAUUUGUGGCCUCAUGGAAGCUCACAACAAGAUUAAAGUGAAGUGUUUAAAUGACGAAGAAGCAUGGGAAUUAUUCUGCAAGAAGGUUGGAGAAGAUGUGGCGACUCUGUACAAGUGCUAAGGAGCUCAGCCUCAGAAUUUCUAGGUAUGUAAAAACAAGUAUAUCCUCUUUUGAAAUUCAGUUAUGAUAAUUUACCUAGCGAUAAAAUUAGAUCGAGUCUGUUAUACUGUAGUUUGUUCCCAGAAGACUUUCCAAUUAGCAAAAUGGAAUUGAUACUGAGAUACGAAAUCAAGGAUACUACAUUAUUGGUGUUCUUGUUCCUUUAUGUUUAUUGGAAGAAGAGGCUCCACUGUUUGUAAAAGUGCAUGAGGUGAUACGCGAUAUGCUUCUGUGGAUAGCAUGUGAAAUUUUAUUUUUAUUUUUUUAUAGGGAUAUCAUGUGAAGUUGAGAAGGAGAGAGAGAAUUUUUUGGUUCGUGCAGGUGCAAGGAUUAACUGAAGUACUAGACAUUUGGAAAUGGGAAGGGUUGAGAAGGGUGUCUUUGAUGAUCAACAAAACUGAGAAGGUAUCAGAAAUUCCUUCAUCUCACGAUCCACUAACUUUGUUGCUUCAACAUAAUUAUUUAGAGGUGAUCAAUAAUGACUUCUUCCAAUCUAUGCAUUCCCUUAGAGUUUUGAACUUAUCAUGUAAUCAUUCUCUAACUGAUCAUUUCAAAGUUAGUUUCCCUACAUACGAGAGUUGCCGAAUGAGUUAACGUUCGUAGUGAAUCUUAAGUUUUUGAAUGUGGAGUCUGCACGGUUUCUUCAUUCAAUUCCAGGGCAAGUGAUAUCCAGUUUUACGAUGUUACAAGUUUUGAAGAUGUUUGGUUGUGGCAGGUCAUCUUCUGAUCGUGAGCCACACCAGAAGAUAGCGUUUUAUUUGGAGGCAGUGAACUUUUGAUUGCGGAGUUGUUUGGUUUGAGAGACAUUUAGAUGUGUUGACCAUCAUCCUAAGAAGCUCCCAUGCUCUGAAAAGAUUUUUGAGCUCCAACAAACUUCAAAGUUGUACUCAAUCUCUCUAUCCUAAAUGCUUUGAUUCGAAGUCAGUUGAUGUUUUUUGCCUGGCUGAUCUGAAGCAUCUCAAUAGGCUAUAGAUAUUGCGAGUUGUAAGCUUUUGGAAGAAGUGAAGAUUGACUUUGUUGGGAAAGCACAAAUGAACUCAUGGUUUUCACAGCCUUAUGUCACGGAAGUUGUGUAAACACUGCACGGGUUGCUGCGCAAAGUAACCAUCCUAUGACAUUGAGCCAUGUUGAAAUAUCAUUUUGCUGUAAACUGAGGGAUUUGACAUAGCUUGCUUUUGCUCCAGACCUUCUUGUUGUUUCCAGAAAGCAUUGCCAUGAUAUAGAGGAAAUACUCGGUGUUGGAAAAUUAGGUAAAGAGAUGAUGUCAAACCUGGAACCCCCUAUAAAACUCCUAAGGUUAUGUCUGGCAUGUAGGAUUGGAUUGAACUAAAUUAUUAGGACUGGAUUAAAUUGGGUUAUAUUUAUAUUCUUAUGUUUGGUACAGUACUGGAUUGAACUAUAUUAGAUUAUAUUUAAAUAAUAUUAAAUAGUAUUUAAGUUGGUAUUUUAAUAUAAAUAUCAAUUAUCCAUGAAAUUUUAUAAUCAUAAUUAAAAUAAAUUUAAAAAGCAAUUACUAGAAAAAUUAAAUAUAUUACAAAAAGUUAUUGGGUAGUCAUAAUAUAAUAAGCAAAUAAAAUUAAAUAAAACAAAUUAAAUAUUUAAUUAAUUUUUAUCAAAUAUUUAAAAAUAUUAUAUAAAAUCAAUUAAUUAAUGGUUUUAUUAAUUUUCAUGAUUAUUUUUAAUAUUACAUUAGUAAUUAUUAAAUUUAAUACAAUCAAAUAAUGCAAUAAAUAAUUAAACGUUUAAUUUUAUCGAUUAAUUAUUAAAUAUACAAGUAAUGAAAAUUUAAUCUCAGGAGUUGGCAGAAGCAAAAGUACUAAUUUAAUUAGAUCAUAGAUAAUAAAUAAAAAUUAAUUUUAAGUAAAUCAUAAUAAAAAAAUUAAUUAAUUGAUUCAAUCAAUCAAUAUUAGGUGUAAAUAAAAAAAGAGUAAUGAUAUAGCCACAAAUUCUUGUACAAACUUAUUUUGUACAAACUCAUGUGUCAUGAUAAGAUUAGUUGAAUUAAAUAUCACUUGGCCCACAUGAUUUGUUUUUAUUAUUUUAUAUUUUUAUUCAACCAAUGAAUUAACGCCACGUCAGUUUGUACAAGAGUUUGUGGUUGUAUCAUCACUCAUAAAAAAAAAGAUACAAAUAAAAAUCUCAUAAAUGGACAACUUUUAUCUUUAAUCUUAUCCCAACUAAACACAUGUGUGAAUUAAGAUUAUUAAUCCCAUGAUUUUAGGAUUAAAUUCAAAUUAAUUCCCCCUUAAUCCAAUCCAACUAAACUUGUCAAACAUGGGAUAAAAGUUUAAUUCUAAAAUUAGUCCAAUUCCAUACUUAAUCCUAGCAUCCACAUAUAGCCCAAGUUGUUUGCUUAAAGAAGCUACCAAAUUUGAAGAGCGUUUACGGGAAGGCCUUGCGUUUCCCAGAUGUAUGCAGAAUUUUUGUAUCCAAAUGCCCAGAACUUAAGAAGCUGACGCUGGAUUUUGAAAGGGCGGGCCAAGGUAAAAUUCUUAUCAAGUGAAAGGAAAAUCGGUGGAAACAACUUCAAUGGAAGGAUCAAGCAACUCAGGAUGCAUUGCUUCUGUUUUUCAAAUCAACUGACAAGUGAUUGAAGGGGGCAUCAUCAGCCUGGAUGGGGAGAUCCUGGAGCAGAUCAGCAGGGUUUGAAUCUGCAUCAUCAACAUCAUCAGGAUCUCUAUUUCUAUUGCUGGUCGUAAUGCCUGCCUACUGUUACUUGAAAAAGUGAUUAAGUGAGCCAGUUUUUUGUUUAUUAAAUUUUGUCUUGUAGAGACAGUCACAAAGUAUUUUUCUUAGUUGUUCUAUAUGAGAGUGAUGUGAAUCAAUUUUUCAAUUAUAUAUUCUGUGGGAAAUUGCAAGUAUUUUUAAAAUAUGAUCGUUAUUAAAGGAAACAAAGGAAUCAACACAGCAUACUGAACCUCAGCAGUAUGAAGCUAAUGAUUAAACUCCUCACACAAUUCAUAACAUGCAAAACCAUUCACAAAAUCAUCCCCAGCAACCAUAAUUGGCGUCCAAUAGAAAUUUACAAGAAUUACUUUUCUGUUCAUGCAAUCGGCGUCCGAAUGCGGCUGAUCGGUCACCGGUGUUGGCGUUUACUGUGAUUAGACAAAUUGUAGGAAUUCAAAAAUAACUUCUAUAGGGGUAAUUUCGAUUUCACAUAAUUAAUUUUAUUUACAAUAUUUUAUUCCUGCUAGAUCAAUUGAGAUUCUUUCCACCGGGCACACCCUUCAUGUUCUUUUAUUUUCUGUCUUUUAUUAGCCGUAGGAUUUUACUACUCUUAUAUCCAACGGCUUGCCACAACAAGACAAAUGAGGUGGUACCUUCCAACCGCUGAAAGGUCGUUUUGGCCCCAGGUGAAAGAGGGAAAUAGGGAAUUGAUGCUAUAUUUUAUAUUUUCUAUUUUACUACUCUUGUAUCCACCGGCCUUUCUUAUAUUUUAUUGCAAAUUGAUGCUAACAAGAAAAAGCUACAUCAUAUUCCACAAAAAACAAAAGUGACAAAACAACCAGUUGGAUUCUUUUAUUAAACUACAAAUUAAAUGGACUUUUUUUUAAUAAACUAUAUAUGAAAGUAGAAUCUUUUGAAUAUAAGUGGGGUAGACUUCCUUUCCAAAACAAAAAAUGCGGGGUAGGCUCUUUUAUUAAAGACAAGUCACAAGACGAUUAGAGUCUUUUAUUAAACUGCAAAUUGUAUAGUCUUUUUCAAAUUGUACAGACAUUUAUAAAUUGGUGGCCCCUUGGAAAUUUAAUGCCAAGCAGAGAAAAGUCAUCAUGCACAAUCCUCAAUAAUUGUUUCGAUAUUUAUAAAUUGGUGGCCCCAACGAAUAAUUGGGAUCGGUUAUGGUGCAAUUAUAGAACCAUGGCACAGUUGCAUCCAGCCGUUAAAUGCACUUAGAUUGGUGAGGUUUAUUGGCAUCUAAUGGCUGAAUGUAACUAUAAUACGGUACUACAGUUACAACACAAGUUUCCACCAAUAAUUGUUCCGAUAAUUAUAAAUUGGUGGCCCCUUGAUAAUUUAACAGCAGCCUGCAAGUGCCAACCAGUGAAAAGUCAUCAUUCACAAUCUUCCAAGUGAAAUAGGAGAUAUACAAAAUAAUAAAAAAAAAACAUGUCAAUUCUUUUUUUUUUUAUUCAUUCCCUUUCAUGUUCUUGAUAAGGGAGGGAGGACGUGACAUGUAAUGUAACUUACACCCAAAUACAUAAAUAAUAUAAAAUGAAUGGAUAGAUGCCCGAGCAGAUCGGCAGGGUUCGAAUAUGACCUUUGGUGCUUGCUUUUUUUUUUUGUGAUUUUGUUUUUCAUUUUUUCCUUCCUGUCAUUUUAUCAUUUCUUUGGCUUUGUCUCUAUUGCGGGUGUUACUGCAUGCUUACUGUUGCUUGACAAAGUUUGCUAGCUGAAAGAAACUUAGUUCUAUAUUGUUUGGUAGGCUAGAAAAUGAAAGGAAAUAAAAGAAAAGCUUUGCAAAGAAAUCUGUUGGAUCUUUUAUUAUUCCAAACUUACAGUUUAAUGACUACUAAUUGAUAUUUAUAUUGAGCUACAAUCUCUUAACAUACACACGAGAUUGUUGCAACACAUAACCAUUUGCUGUAUAACUAACUUGACACAUCAGCUCAACCAGCUAACUAACUUUGACAGGUCAGCUUAAUGAUUUGAUCUGCUACAACCAGCUACACAACACAUCAUGCUCUGCUCCAGCUACACAGCAACAUCAUGCUCUGCUCCAGCUUCAUCUAAUUCACUAACAUCCCCCUUCAAGCUGAAAUGUUUAGGAUGAACAUUCAGCUUGCUGCGGAAGUAACUAAAUUGUUUGAAAGUAAGAGCUUUAGUCAACACAUCUGCAGUUUGAUCUUGACUAGGCACAUAACAGACUGCAACUUCUUUAGCAGUAACUUUAUCUCGGAUGAAAUGGAUAUCCAAUUCAACAUGCUUAGUUUUAGCAUGAUAGACUGGAUUAUAAGCUAAAGCAAUGGCUCCUUGAUUAUCACACCACAUCAUAGGAGUAGAGCUCAAUUUGAUGCUAAGUUCACCAAGUAAAGACUUGAUCCAGGUAACCUCUGAAGCAGCAUGAGCAAGAGAUCUAUACUCAGCCUCUGUGCUGAAUCUGGAAACAACAGCUUGCUUCUUGGACGACCAAGAGACAAGAUUAGGACCUAGAUAAACAGCAAAGCCAGCUACUGACUUCCUAUCAUCAUGAUCACAAGCCCAAUCAGAGUCUGAAAAACAAUGGAGUUGCAGAGCUCCUUGGUUGUAGAAUUGCAGCCUAAGAUGGAUAGUACCUUUUAAGUACCUCAAUAACCUUUUACAUGCUUCCCAAUGUUGAGUCCUAGGAUUGGAAAGGAACUGACUCAACUUAUUGACAUAAAAAGCAAUGUCAGGUCUGGUAAGAGUAACAUACUGAAGAGCUCCUAUAACACUUCUGUAUUGAGAAACAUUGUCAAUUGGCUCCCAUGAGUCUUUGGUGAGAUAAUAACCUGUAGACAUUGGAGUUGGCACAGGACUGCAAUCAAUCAUGCCAUGUUUGUCCAGAACAUCAGCAAUAUACUUUGCUUGUGUCAAGGAAACCCCUUUUGAAGACUUGCUGACUUCAAUCCCCAAAAAAUAGUGAAGUUCCCCUAAAUCCUUUAAAGCAAAAGUCUGAUGCAUAUUCUGAAUAGCUUGCUGAAUCAAUGAUGGACUGGAACCAGUGAUGAUAAUAUCAUCAACAUAGACUAAAACAAUAGUUAUAUGACCACUGUUCCAGGCAUAAAAAAGAGAGUUAUCAGACCUUGAAUGCUGAAAAUGCCACUGGGAGAUCAUUGCAUCCUUAAAUCUAUCAAACCAGGCUCUAGGAGCCUGUUUUAAACCAUACAAAGCCUUAUUCAGCUUGCAAACAUGAUUAAGUUUAGUUGAAUCAACAAAACCUUGAGGUUGAGCCAUGUACACAUCUUCAAUUAAAAUGCCAUUGAGGAAUGCAUUAUUAACAUCCACCUGCCUAAUAACCCAGUGGUUCAAUAUUGCUAAGCUAAGAAUAACUCUGAUAGUUGAAGAUUUAACCACUGGACUGAAGGUUUCUGUGUAGUCAACCCCAUGUGUCUAAUGAAACCCCUUAGCAACAAGCCUGGCUUUAUACCUUGAAACCGAGCCAUCUGAGUUAUACUUAAUUCGAAACACCCACUUGUUACCAACUAUCUUCACUGGAGUAGCAGGUAAAACCAAAUCCCAGGUGUGAUUAGUUUUAAGUGCUAGAUACUCUUCUUGCAUAGCUUUAUACCACAUAGGAUCAGAGAGUGCUUUGGAAACAGAAGUUGGUUCUGAUUGCUGGGCUAACAAGGCUGACAAAUAAACUUUUGGCUUAAAAAUACCUGCUUUUGAUCUGGUUACCAUUGGAUGACCAGAUGGUGCAUGUUGUGGUAAUGUAUGUGGAGGUGAGGAAUGGGAAGAUGAGAAAGGAGAAACUGAGUUGGAAUUAUCAGAAAAAUAAACUGGAGUAGAGUUUGGGAAUGAAAUAGAAGCAUUAGACUGAUGAUCAGUAGGUUGAGGUGCUGAUGAUGCUGCUAAAGGUGCUUGUAACUGAGUAACAGAAGAAGUAGAAGACUUAAAAGAAGACUCAGAGUGUGAUGUAGACUGACAGCUUAAAGAGGUUGAAGAAAACUCUACCCCAGACUCAUAAGGAAAGGAAUUUUCAUCAAAGGUGACAUAAUUGGAAAUAUACACCCUUCCAGAAGAGUGAAGACACAUAUAUCCCUUGUGUUGUGAACUGUAGCCAAUGAAUAUACAUCUAGCAGUUCUGAAAUCAAACUUAUAUCUAUUGUAUGGUCUGAGUGUUGGAUAACAAGCACAGCCGAAAGUUUUAAGUGUUGAAUAAUCUGGUUGAUAAUGAAACAACUUUUGGAAAGGAGAAAUGUUAUUUAGAACUGGAGUUGGAAGUCUGUUUAUCAAAUAGACAGCUGUGUGGAAUGCAUUCCACCAAAAUUUGAGUGGUAAAUGUGCUUGAGCUAAUAAAGUCAGACCUACAUCAACUAUGUGUCUAUGCUUCCUCUCAAUUCUUCCAUUUUGGUGAUGAAUAUGUGGGCAAGGGUGUCUAAAAUGGAUACCAGAAGUAGUGAGUAAUGAGGAAAAAGAUCUGAACUCCCCUCCCCAGUCAGUUUGGACAGUUUUGAUGGAAAGUUGAAGAUGCUUUUCAAUGAAUGUUUUGAAAUUUUUAAAAACUUCAAGAGCAUCAGAUUUUGCUGAUAAAGGGAAUAUCCAGGUAAACCUACUAUAAUCAUCUAGGAUUCACAGGUAGUAGUUAUAUCCUUGGGUAGAACAAACAUGAGAAGGACCCCACAGAUCUGCAUAUAUUAGUUGUAAAGGUUCUGAAGUUUUUGUUUCAACUGAAUCAAAAUGCAGCAUAUGAUUUUUCCCAUAUUGACAUGCAUAACAAAAUUUCAAACUUUCAACUUUAUUAAGAGCAGUAAAGUUGUUACAAGCUUUGAGUAUGGUUUUGAGAGUAUAAGGAGCUGGGUGUCCUAAUCUUCUAUGUAGAAGAUUUACAUAAGUUAAACCCUUUGCAACAACUGACAGACAUGACUUUUUAUUCAGCUCAUAAGAACUAACAGCAGAAGGCUUAUCAGAAGUAAAAACAGGAGAACAAGCAAAAAGAGACUGAAUUUUUUUUUUACCAACUGAACUGAGAAAAACUGAGUGAGCAGCAGCUUGUGAAGAGACUCUAUACAAGCCACCUUUAGCAACACCUUCAUGUAAAAUUUUCCCUGUGUUCCUGGCCUUUAUAAAACAGAAAUCACCAAGAAAUUCAACAGUAACUGGAUUGUCAGCCAAUAAUUUGGAAAUGCUAAGUAAAUUCUUAGUAAUAAAGGGAAUAUGAAGAACAUGGUUAAGAAAUAAAGAUUGAGAAUUUGAAGUGUUCAGCACAACUGAUCCUAUAUGUGUAACAGCUAAUGCAUUUCCAUCCCCAACAAAUAACUUCUCAGUACCAGUAUAAGCUUGUGAAUCUAGAAGUUUACCUAGAUCAUUAGUAAUGUGAUUUGUGGCUCCACUGUCAAUGUACCAGGAAAGAUCUUCAAUGUGUUCUGGAAGUGAAGAAGACAUAGUUGAGGAAGAUGAAGCACUUGACUGUCCAGGAUUAUUGUUUCCUUGACCAGCAACAAAAUUAGAUGAUCCAGGAGUGAAAGAGUAAUAGGCAGAAGGAUUGUUAUCUGGAUACACUAUAUUUCCUUGAUAACCAAAACCCCUGGGUGCAUGACCAAAACUAGCAUUUUGUCCAAAACCAGCAUUUGAACCAAAACUUCUUCCACUAUUACCAUUAUAGACUCUUCCUCUACCAUAUUGCCCUUGAUUAAAACCUCUGUCACCAUUCAUAUUGCCUCUACCAUGAUUCCUCUGUGGAACAUAAGAUGAGUUGUACCUAUUCCUGCAUCUAUUUGCUGCAUGACCAGGUAUGAAGCAAAUUUGACAAACAACUUCAGAGGAAUUACUACCAGUAUUAAACUGACCAUAUCCAUAUCCAUUAAAACCUCCAUAUCCAGAAUUAUUACCACCUCCAUAGUUAUUUCCAUAAUUUUUCUGAAAAUUUCCAUUAUUCUUUCUAGCAUAUGAGUUCUUCUGAGCAAUAUUUGCUGUCAUGUUAUGCAUCACAUCACCAGCAAUUUUCCCUUUCUUUUGCUCAACUCUAUUUUCAUGAUUCAACAACAAAGAAUAUAGUUCAUCUAAUGUGAUCUUUUCACCUCGAGCUAACACAGCUGUGACUAAAGACUCAUAGUCUGAUGAAUCAAGACCAGUUAAUAUAUGCAUCACAAGAUCAUUUAACUCAAUAGGUUUUCCAGCUAGAGCUAAAGUAUCAGCUAUGCGUUUUACUUUUACAAAAUAAUCAGACAUAUGCAUUGCACCUUUCUUAAUAGUUUGAAUCUGCAUUCUAAGUGUUUGAAUUCUAGCUUGUGAUUGAGAGAUAAACAUACUAGCAAGAGUCUCCCAAAGCUGUUUUGAAGUUGUAGAAUCAAUCACAGUAGCAAGCAGAUUUUGCUGUAUCGAUGACAUCAUCCAACUCAGUAAGAGUUGGUCAGUCUUCAUCCAAGCUACGAAUUCUGGAUUAAUAGAUCUGGAUCCAGAUUCAGUUAAAACUUCAGCUCCAUUGUUGUUUCCAGAAGAAAGAAACUGCUCAGGACAUUCUCGAUCGCCAUUGAUAAAUCCUUCCAAACCGUUUCCUUUGAUUGAAGUUAAAAUUUGUGUGCGCAACAGAAUGAAGUUGUUUUGAUCUAGCUUUACUGGCGUAACAAAACUGAAAGAGUUGUUGUUUUGAACUAUAUUUGCCAUUUAUGGCUCUGAUACCAUGAAAGAAACUUAGUUCUAUAUUGUUUGGUAGGCUAGAAAAUGAAAGGAAAUAAAAGAAAAGCUUUGCAAAGAAAUCUGUUAGAUCUUUUAUUAUUCCAAACUUACAGUUUAAUGACUACUAAUUGAUAUUUAUAUUGAGCUACAAUCUCUUAACAUACACACGAGAUUGUUGUAACACAACCAUUGCUGUAUAACUAACUUGACACAUCAGCUCAACCAGCUAACUAACUUUGACAGGCCAGCUUAAUGAUUUGAUCUGCUACAACCAGCUACACAGCACAUCAUGCUCUGCUCCAGCUACACAGCAACAACAUGCUCUGCUCCAGCUUCAUCUAAUUCACUAACACUAGCUUUUCCUUUUGUUUAUUAAAUUUUUUUAUGGUCACAAAGUAUUACUCGUUCUAUUUGACAAUGAUGUGAAUCAAUUUUUCAAUUUUAUAUUUUGUGGUCAACGUGAAUUCAAUUUCAUUUGUCUCCUGCAAUUAUGAAAAAAUUACAGUCAUAAUAUGGGGAAACCUGUGGUGCAACUGUGGUACCAUGUCACAGUUGCAUCCAGCCGUUGGAUGCCAAUAGAUCCCACCAAUUUAAGUGCAUCCAACAGCUGGAUAUAACUAUAGCACGGUACCACAAUUACACCGUAACUUGAUCCCAUAAUAUGGAAAAGUACACCGGCAGAAACUUUGUAAAAGCUUCGGAGUGAUACGGGGAAUUCACUUACUACUAAAGACAGUUGGUGGCAACCUAAUGUCCAUCCAUCUAUUUAGUUAUUGAAGAUUAGUGGUCCAUUUGUAAAUUUCAGAUUGUCUCUCUCUCUCUCCCUCUUGAAAUAACAAUAUUUAAUAUAUCUAUUAAAUUAUUAUAAAUUUUAAUUUACUCUCGAUUUAAAAUGGAGCAUGUCGAUAAAUUUUUUUUCUUCUUAAUAAAAUUGACGUAAGUUGUGUUUACAGUAGUUUGAAGUUUGAAAUAUUUUAAAGAUUAUUAUUCUAUAAGGGAGUAAUAUGAACUGAAAUUUACUUUUCAUGUGUGAAAUGAAAAACGACGAAGCAAGUGUCCCUGCUUUUAUUUUAUUUCAAGGAGGAGUCAUCUCACAUACUUUAGCUCUUAACAUUACAUUUUUUCUGGUUACAUUUUUAUUUUUUAUUUUUUUUAACACAUGCGUGUGGGAUGCUUUUCUGUAAGCUCCUUAAUAUAUAUUUAAGACAAAUCAUGGAAGAGAUGGGAUUAUAUCAAGAUGAUCAAAGCAUGUAAAAAAAGAAAAAAGAAAAAAAAAUUAAGAAGUAAGACACUGAAAAUGGAGAAGAGAUGGAAGCAAAAGAUAUUCCAAACAAAGCAAUCUAUCCCCUUUCGAGGGCAGACUUAUCAGGUUUAAAAAAGUACAUGCUUUGGAUUGGUAGUUACAAUCAAGGGAAAAUAAAUAGGAUCCAAUGAAAUUUAAAUCUUGGAGAAAAUAAAUAAUCAUGCAGAUUUUCAAGAUUUUAAUAAGGGAUACUAAUAUCUUAUUUUGAUUAAUAACAUUCUUUCACUGUGUUAACUCAAAAAAAAUAUUAUAAUGCUUUACAAUAAAUACAAAUGUCCUAUUAAAUGAAUAUAUAAAAAAUUUAGAAUAUUAUAUAAAAUAAUUUUAAUAUAAUGCGUGAGAUAUAUUUUAUUAAUUUAAAAUGUCAUUUUACCUAAAAAAUAUGAUAAAUUGAUAAUUACAUAUUUGAAGUUAUUUCAAAUAUUAAAAAAAUUUAAUAUUAUUAGUCUUUUAGAUAGAUUAAAUUAUUUUUUAAAGAGAUAGAUUAAAUUAUUUUAAAAUACCUUAAUUGUUUUUACUUUAAACAUUACCGGCCUUUCUUUUAUUUUAUUGCAAAUUAAUGCUAACAAGAAAAAGCUAGAUCAUAUUCCACAAAAGCAAAAGUGACAAACACAGCCAGCUGGAAUCUUUUAUAAAACUACAAAUUAAAAUGGAUUUUUUUUUUUGAUAAAUUACACAUGAAAGUGGAUUCUUUUGAAUAUAAGUGGGGUAGGCUCUUUUAUUUUAUUUUUGAAUAUUGUAUAACGGGACUGUAGACUCUUUUAUUAAACUACAAAUUGUAUAGUCUUUUUAAAAUUGUUAUAAAUUAGUGGCCCCUAAAAUCCUCAACAAUUGUACCGAUAUUCACAAGUUGGUGGCCCCUACAAUUCUGUUCAGUUAAUUUAACUGUGCAAGUGCUCAUUCACAAUCUUCCAGGUCAUGCUCUUAAUAAUUUUUUUUUUUUUUUCUGCAUUCCCUUUCAUGCUCUUAAUAAUUGAAGAGCAUACUUUUCAUUUUCAAAUGUGGAGCCGCAGCUAAUGUCGUUAAUUUAAUUUGGGAUUAAAUUAGGGGACCAUUAUAUUGCAGUGUGCACUAAUUUUUGUGUUUAUCUAAACUCCUUAAAUUUAAGACAUAUUAUGGCAUAAAUAAGAAUAUAACAAUAACAAAAGAGUUAGAAAGUGUAGAGAAGAUCUUGCAGAAAUAUAAAUAAUAUCUAUUUUAAAAUAAUUUUUAAUAUUUUAUGAUCCAUUAGAUAUAUUUUAUUAUAUUAAAGUAAAUUUUAUAAUAAAUGAAAACAUACUAUUAAAAUGAAUAUAUAGAAAAUUUAGAGUAUUUUAAAUAUUAUAUAAAAUAAUUUUAAUAAAAUAUGUGAGAUAUUCAUAUUUUAUUAAUUUAAAAUACCAUUUAACCUAAAGAUUUAUUUAUGAUAAAUUAAUAAUUAUAUUUUUGAAAUUACUUCAAAUAUUAAAAAAAUUAAUAUUACUAAUCUAUUAGAUAGAUUAAAUUAUAUAUAUUAUUUUCUAUUUAUUAAAAAAUUAAAAUUAUUUUUAAUUACUAUUCAAAAAAUAUAAUGAUAAAAAAAAAUCUUAACAUCUUUAUUAAAAAUUUAAAAUUUACAUGAUCAAUUCUCUAAAUAUUUAGGGUAUAUGUGAACAUCGGUGGAGAAGCUUUAUUUAAUAUUAUUGAUUUAAAUAAUAUGUCAAUUAAAAAUGUGCGGAGAAGAAAUUUCGGUGGGUAUUUUAGUCUUUUCAGCAAUUAUCAUGAUCAGAUCAGCCUUUAGCCUUGAAACGUCGGUCAGAAAGUUUUAAAAUUAACGCUAACAAGAAAAAGCUAGGUCAUAUUCCACAAAAGCAAAAGUGACAAAACAACCAGUUGGUUUCUUUUACUAAACUACAAAUUAAAAGUGGAUUCUUUUGAAUACAAGUGGGACAGACGAUUAGGCUCUUUUUAUUAAAGGCAAGUAAAAAGUAGUCGAAUAGUCUUUUUCAAAUUCUUGUUUUAAUAUUUUUCAAAACUAGUUUUUGGUAAUUACAAUCGGGUCAUUCAUUAAUCAUUAUUCAGAGUAAUUAUGAAUUUCCCAAUUAUAAUUACUAACUGUUUUUCCUUAACCACUCGGCUCAGCCCGAGUGGCCAGGGCUGCUGCCCUCCAAGUUCGAACCCCCACAAAAGUAUUGUGGGGGUAUUUUCUUUCUCAAUUAAUUUGAGUGAAGGUAGUCUUUUCCUUUAUCCAUGAGUGAGGAGUAGACAUCCCUCGAAUAUUUGUGAGGGUUAAAAUCUGAGUAGAGCUCUAUUAGCAUUGAUGUAAGUUGAUCCCAGUAAUUGUCUGAUCUGUAAAUAUCAGGUUAAAAUCUGGGCAAAGCUCCAUUAGCAUUGAUGUAAGUUGAUCCCAGUAAUUGUCUGAUCUAUAAAUAUCAGUUAUAGUCUCAUGUAAUAUGAGUUGUAAUCUGAGCAAUAGUCUCGUGUAAUAAAAAAAAAAAAAAACUAUUUUUCCUUCAAAAGUUAGAGACUCGUGUUUGCAACUUGCAAGUGUGAAUGUGCAAUGCUCUUUGUCUAAAGGCUAGUGUUUCUAGUGGGUCCCGACUCGAGCGUGCCUAAAUCAUUUUAAAAUUUUUCCCGUAUAAUGGACAGAGGUCAUUACUAAAAUUUCUCUUCCACAGGCAAUUACAGCAGCUCCAGUUUAUCAAACUCAACCAAUUUUCUUUCUUAACAAAAUUCCAAAGAUGUGUAGCUUUUUUCAGAUCACAUGCGAUGGUGCUCUUUUCAAUCGUUGCUUGGAUUGCUUUCUUGGAAAAGCAGCAUACAUACGUAACCUCCAAGAUAAUCUUGAUGCCUUGGAGACUGAAUUGGGAAAUCUGAUCGCUAAAAAGAACGAUGUGAUGAGGAGGGUUGUCGAUGCUGAACGGCAACAAAUGAGAAGGCUGGACGGAGUGCAAGUGUGGGUUUCGAGGGUGGAUGCUUUUAAAACUGGAGCCGAUGAACUUAUCAUAGACGGCUCUGAAGAAAUUGGCAAAUUAUGUGUUGGAGGCUACUGUUCCAAGAACUGCAGGUCAAGCUACAAAUUCGGAAAACAAGUGGCUAGAAAGCUACGAGAUGUGGAGACUUUAAUCGCCGAGGGAGUUUUUGAGGCGGUGGCUACUGAGGUGGUGCCUGAGAGAGCUCCAGAGCCUGUAGCAGAUAAAAGACCCAUUGAGCCAACAAUAGUAGGCUUGCAAUCACAGCUUGAACAAGUUUGGAGAUGUCUUGUAGAAGAAUCAGUGGGAAUCAUUGGCCUAUAUGGUAUGGGCGGUGUUGGUAAAACCACACUAUUGACCCAUAUCAACAAUAAAUUUCUUGAGAGUCCCACAAACUUUGAUUGUGUGAUUUGGGUCCUAGUUUCAAAAGACCUGCGACUUGAAAAAAUUCAAGAAGAUAUUGGGAAGAAGAUAGGUUUGGUUGAUGAUUCAUGGAAGAAUAAAAGUUUUGAAGAGAAAGCUGUGGACAUCCUGCGGAGAUUAGGAGAGAAGAGAUUUGUAUUGUUGUUAGAUGAUUUAUGGGAGCGGGUUGAUUUAACAGAAGUGGGCGUUCCACUUCCCAGCGCACAAAAUACUACCUCAAAAGUCGUAUUCACAACCCGUUCCAUUGGUGUUUGUGGCAGCAUGAGAGCUAGGCCGGUUAAAGUGGCAUGCCUAUCAGAAAAGCAAGCUUGGGAACUGUUCCGCGAAAAUGUUGGGGAAGAAACUCUUGAGAGUGAUCAUGAGAUCGUUGAGCUAGCCCAAACUGUAGCCAAAGAGUGUGGUGGUUUGCCACUCGCACUUAUUACUAUUGGUCGAGCUAUGGCCAACAGAAAUACAGCUGAGGAGUGGAGACAUGCAAUUGAAGUAUUAAAAAGGUCAGCUUCGGAGUUUGCGGGUUUGGAAAAAGAUGUAUAUCCUCUUUUAAAGUUUAGUUAUGAUAGUUUGCAGAAUGAGACGAUUAGAACUUGUUUCUUAUAUUGCUGUUUGUAUGCGGAAGAUUAUGUCAUUCCUAAAUGGGACUUGAUUGAUUGUUGGAUUGGUGAGGGAUUCUUAGAGGAAUCUCACGGUUUUGGUGCAGAAAACCAAGGAUACUACAUUGUGGGCACUCUUGUUCGUGCAUGUUUAUUAGAAGAGGUGGAAGAUGAUGAAGUAAAAAUGCAUGACGUUAUUCGUGAUAUGGCUAUAUGGAUAACCUGUGAAAUUGAGAAGGAGAAGAGAAACUUUUUGGUUCGUGCAGGUGCUGGAUUAAAAGAGGCACCGGAUGUUAAAAGAUGGGAAAAUGUGAGAAGAUUGUCAUUGAUGCAAAACCAAAUUGAAACUCUGUCAGAGGUUCCCACAUGCCCUCAUCUCCAUACUCUAUUUCUUGCCUCUAAUAAUAGUUUGCAGAGGAUCACCGAUGGCUUCUUCCAACUUAUGCCUUCUCUCAAAGUUUUGAAGAUGUCAAACUGCUGGAAUUUUACUUUGAAAUUACCUUUGGCGAUGUCAGAGUUGGGUUCGUCACUAGAACUUCUUGAUAUUUCAUAUGCCAGCAUAACAGAGUUACCAGAAGAGUUAAAGUUGUUGGUAAAUCUGAAAUGUUUGAAUUUGAGGUGGACAGAUACGUUAAAUAAAAUUCCACGGCAACUAAUAUCAAUUCUUUCAUGGUUACGUGUGUUGAGAAUGUUGGGUACUGGCUGGUUCAAUUUUCUUGAAGCACCAGAAGACAGCGUUUUAUUUGGUGGGGGUGAAGUUUUGAUACAGGAAUUGCUCGGUUUGAAAUAUUUAGAGGUAUUGGAGUUGACCUUGGGAAGUUAUCAUGCUCUCCAAAUUCUUUUGAGCUCAAAUAAGUUAAAAAGUUGUAUUCGAUCUCUUUACCUCCAUUUGACCGGAGAUACAGCGUCAAUUAUUGAUGCUACGGUUUUCGCAGAUCUAAACCAACUCAAUCAAUUAUGGAUUGAUGAAGGUAUUGAGUUGGAAGAAUUGAAGAUUGAUUAUACGGAGAUAGUACGAAAAAGGCGGGAACCUUUUGUUUUCCGCAGCCUUCACUGUGUUCGUAUAGAGCAGUGCCAUAAAUUGAAAGAUGUGACAUUCCUCAUUUUUGCUCCAAACCUCAAGUCUCUUGACCUAUCCUACUGCUCUUCUAUGGAAGAAGUAAUCAGCGUCGGAAAAUUUGCUGAGACUCCUGAGAUGAUGGGACAUAUAAGCCCUUUUGAAAAUCUCCAAAGUCUUCAUUUAUCGCAAUUGCCAGCUUUGAAGAGCAUCUACUGGAAGCCAUUGCCUUUCACUCAUCUCAAAGAAAUAUCUGUGGGUUAUUGCCGUAAUCUUAAAAAGCUUCCACUCGAUUCCAACAGUGCAAAGGAGCGUAAAUUUGUAAUUCGUGGAGAAGAAGACUGGUGGAACCGACUUCAAUGGGAGGAUGAAGCCACUCAAAUUGCUUUUCGUUCCUGUUUCCAACCAAUGGGAGUACUGAGCGGUGGUCGCAAAAUUUGAUUUCUGGUGAGUGCGUUUGUCUUUUAAAAGCAGAAUUUAAAAGAAAUUUAUUCUUGUCGUUUUCUUCUCUGUUUUUAUUUGAUUUCUGGUUAGUUUCUCUCUCGCACUGCCAUUACUGUUUUAAUUUCCUGUCAAAAGACGAGCGAGAAGAACAUAUAUAUGACGUAAACCAAUUGAUAAAUAUUAAUUGCCUGUUCUCUGUUUUUAUUAAGUAUACUUUAUUUUGCCCUGUUCUCUGUUUUUAUUUCAUUCUCUCUCUCUCCCUCUCUUUCCUGUCUUCUGCAAGUCAUAAUUAAAUGUUGAAUUAUAUGGAAUUAAUGCUUUAUAAAUCUGCCUACGCUGGCUUUUUUUUUUUUUUUUGUGGGGUCGAAUUGAUGCUCUGGUUUUCGACUACUUUUUGUUGUCAAAAUUUUCUCUGUUUUUUCAAAUUGAUGCUUUAUUUAUAUCUUCUUCGUGAAAAGUGAUUUAAUUUCCUGCCAAAAGACGAACGAGAAGAACAUUAGAGUCUAACUAAUGCUCACAUAAAUUUCCCGUAAGAAUAUAUAUAUAAUUAGACUGGAAUGCACACCUCUAGAUUGAACAGAAUUAAAGCUGAGAAAAUAUUGAGUAUAGUAGCCCUCUUUACAGAAAAUGACGCGAAAGUUAAUUUAGAAAAAGAUAUAUUCUUGAUUAAUCCAUUUUCUGAAGUUUUUUAUUUUGUAUGGUCAAUUAUACCUUCAUACUAAAAAUUUCUGAAGUUAUGGGGUUGUUGGAUGUGUUUUGGAUAUUUGCAGCUAAGUUUGAGUUUAUAUCUCAACUUAAAAUUUGUAGUUUUCACUUGAAAAAAUUCAGUUAAAAAUUUAUUGGUAGAAUUGUGAAAAAAGUUAAAAUUUUUAGUUCAACCCGAUUGCAUAUUUAAGAACAUCUCAAAUGAAUUGCUUACUGCUAUCAUCAUCAUUAUUGUCCAUAUAAUAAUGGAUCUUUAUUAUAUAUAUAUAUGUUUCCACUAAAAUAUAUUUAAUUAUUCUUUAUUUUUCCAUUGUUGCGUGUAAGAUUUAUUUGAGUUCUAAGUUAUAUCAAUACAAAUGUUAUCUUAUCCAUAAAAAAGUUAGAUCCAACAAUUAUGAAAAUUACCAUAGAGUUGCUUUCAAUUAUUUUUUAAAAAUACCAGGAGUAAAUAAUAAUUAGUUCAAGUGGUGUAGACUAAAAAGUGUUCACCUUUAUUUUUUAUCUGUUAUUUAUUUAUUUCAUUAAUGCACAUGCUAUACAUUUGAGACACUCCAUCCUAUGCAAUGUGAAUAAAUUUCUUUCCUUUUUCCUUUACUCUUUUUAUUUGACAAUAAAGUUUCCAUCUAUCAUCUAUCAUCUAUCAUCUAUGUACGCAAAAUUUCUGCAACAAGUACAAAACAUAAAAAUAUAUAUGAUUGUUAAGGGAAACACGCAGAAGUUCAUCAUUUCAAUGUUCAGUAUUACCAAUUUUGGCAUUAAGCUUGUACGAAUAUAUUCCACUUAGAAAGCAAAAUAUUAGACUCAUGAUUUUAAUUCAUUCAUUAUCUCUCAUUUUAAUCCCAAAAUAUUCAAGAGUAUCCAAGUUACCAUAAGACUUCAGAGGCUCGAGCCUUAGCCAGAGAUGGUUAAUUGAUAGACUAUGUGCCUGGGUCGAGCACUGGAAGCCUGCAAUGCAGACUGAUUGAUUUAUCAGUUUGACGUGUGCCAGGAAUGAAGAACUGGAAUAUCACCGUCAAGCACGCACCCUGUGGAGCAAUACCAAAGAAUGCACAAUCUGGCUUUGCUAGGUGACACUGGAGGCUUUUUGAAAAGUGCUUCACGCUCACUUGCACAGAUUGAGCAUCCCCUCCGGAUAUUGCCCUCUCUGAUCGAGUCCGAGCACUCAAAUUUCAAUCCUCAGAUGGAGCUACAGCUUUCUCUCCAAUAACCAACAAUUUUCUAAACUCAGCUCCUAGUGUGAUGAGAGUUGUUGAUAUUUGUAAAUGGAGAUCCCCAUAUUUGCAAAUGGAGACAUUUAACAAAUCACCAACAUGCUUCAUUCGGUCUACGAAAUUCUGCAGCUGAUUCAAAUCCGGAACCUGAACCAGAGUCGGAGGUAAAUCUUGAGCCAUAUCUAAAGCAGUCUGAAGUUCAAGUACUUGAGCCCUUGACAAUGGUUUUGAAAUAGGAACAUCUUGGAUUACUGCAGACUUGUACCCCUUGGUUUCAAAGGUAAGGAAAGGCAUUGCUUGAGUACAAUUUGGAGGCAGCUUCUUCACCAAUUUUAUUUGGAGGCGAUUGGCAGCGGAUCCAGCUGCACCAAUUUCAGAGCAAAUACUGACACUACUUCGAACAGCACACUGAAGAAGUGAUAUGUCUACGGCAAAGGCAAUGCAGUCCUCAUUUUGGCUUGAGAUGCAGUAAUCAUCGAAGAGAGUUUCCUUGUGAAACUGGGCAACACAUUGAAUCCCUUCGCCACUGAGAAGGUUGUGGAGGAAGUAAGCUUUCUCUCUAGUGAGGAAGAGGUGGCAUACCUUCCCCAUUUUGUCUAGGGCAGGUAGGAAUCAUUUUUCUAAGAGAUUUACUUCAUUCUCUGUGAGAAAUGAAUUGAACUUCAUCCCUCUGUCUCUAUCCUCACUUAUCAGAAAAUAAGUUGAAAGCACUUCGGAGAGAGAGAGAGAGAGAAUUAAGAUAUAUAGACAAGAAAAAUAUUAGACGUUGAUCUUACAAACUAAUACUUCAAGCAGUAUCCUAGAAAGCUAAAAACUGCAAGAUGGCUUGAAAUUUGAAAAGAGCACGUGCUUUUCCUCCUUAACUUGAGAAAAUGUUUAAUAUAGUGCACCUACAGAAGCAUUUAAGCAAUUAGAACUUUGCACAAAAACAUCAAGAAGACUAAACAAAUCAGAUGCAGUGUAUUUGUCCAAGCACAAAUUGCAUUUUGUCCUCAACUUUAAUAUUUAUUGAUGAGAAUCAAUACAGGUCCCUCAUUUGAUAUAGAAAGCUUUCUUUCUUGUAGUCUCACCAGUUAAUUCACAGGUCUAUAAUCAUCUUGCAAAGUUAAGGGCAUUUCUUUCGAUCUAAAGUCUUUGCAUCACCACCUCAUCACACGCCAAGCCAAUAUUCCAUUUACCUCUACAACAAAAAGUUUUAAGUAAACAAUCCUAAUGCACGCAGCCAAAUAAAAUGCAGUAAGAAUAUUCAACUUAAAAAUCUGAAAGCCGACUUGGUGAAUUGCCUCCUUAGGUGAAGUUCCAUGCUUUACUAUAGUUGACAGAACUCAGCAAAAGCUUCCAUACAACAGAUUUUGAAAAUGAUGAUGCCAAUAGAUACUCAUUCAAUCCAUUGAAAAUCCAAAGGUUCAUUGUUAAUAGAAGUUUACAGAGUUUUGGUCAUCAAAUAGCUCAGACCUAAUCCCAAACAAAAAACGAGUGAAAAUUAGAUCACGAGCAGCUGAUUGUAAAUUCUAACUUAACUCUUCAUCUCCUUUGUAAACAAGAAACAAAAUGGAGACACGCAAAAUGAAUAUGGAGAAAAUUUGAACUCAAAUGAAAUGAGGGCACGAAAGCAAACAAAUGGCAUGCACAAAAAAACCAAGCCUCAAUCAAAAACUAAUUAACCAUUAAGAAAAAAAUUGGUCAGAUAAUGAACUACAAAUUCAGGAGUCAAGCAAGAAGCUUUCAUUAUUUCAGAAGCUCCUGUACAAAUUAAUAAGUUAUGCUCUUUGGAAGCAAACCUAAAUUCCAAGAGAAACAGAACCCAAAAAAUUUGCAAUUAUACGCAAAGGGAGUGAAGCACAGGAUUCUAUCACACAUAGGAAUUGUAUAACAAGAGAUCGAUAUAUCGAAUUAGAAAACUCAAUUCGAAUUUGUGUCAAAAAUCAAAAUUAGAAGAUUUCACAUUUCGAGAGGAACAAGCAACAGAUGAAGUUCAAAAUUUCAGCCAUAACAUGCUAAAAAUGCUACACUUAACGGUUCAUUUUCAUGGAUUUUCUCGGGAAACAAACAGAAAAUUACGGUUUAGAGAUUUGACUGACCUUUUGGCUUUUGAAAUUGAGAAGAUCGCACGCCAAAUUGGAAGAGGGAAAGUGAAAGUGCGAGUUUUAAUAUGGGUAUUAGAUAAGGAAAUUUUAUUAGGUUGCGAGGGUAAAAAAGGAAAGAGAUAUCAUUGUUUUAUUAUCGAUAAUUAUUAAAUUUUUUUCCAAAAAAAAAGAACAAGCAAGGAUAUUUUAUUGUCAUUUGCAACCUUUAAUUUUUUAAAUGCUAUUAGAAACACAAGACAAUAAAGAAAUACUUAUUUUUUUCUAAAACUAAAAUCAAUUGUUUAAAAAAAAUUGUUUCAAAAUUACUUGAGUCAUAUCCAAUGGACCAACAAAGUAAUCGUUUUUAUUUUUAUUGAUUUUUGCAGGAAAUUAAUAACUUAAAAAUACUGAAAGCUAUUGUAAAAAUUUUUAUUAUCAACCUCAUAGUUUUUUUUUUUUUUUUUGGGAAGAGAAUUCAAACUUUUUUUUUUAUGAAUAUCGCUGUUUCGUUUGAGUUGGAUGUGAAUUCAAAUACAAAUAUUCUUUGUUUUUCAAUUCUGAACUCAAUUUCUUUUUUUCAAGAAUGUUAUGCAGAAAUGAUUUUUACUGAACGGCAACAAAUGAAAAGGCUGGGCCAAGUGGAAUGGUGGGUUUCGAGGGUGGAUGCUGUUAAAAUUGAAGCUGAUGAACUUAUCAGAGACGGCUCUCAAGAAAUUGACAAAUUGUGUGUUGGAGGCUACUGUUCUAAGAACUGCACGUCAAGCUACAAGUUCGGGAAACAAGUGGCUAAAAAGCUACGAGAUGUGGAGACUUUAAUCGCUGAAGGAGUUUUUGAGGCGGUGGCUACCGAGGUGGUGCCUGAGAGAGCAGAGCCUGUAGCAGAUGAAAGACCUACCGAGCGAACAGUAGUAGGCUUGCAAUCACAACUUGAACAAGUCUGGAGAUGUCUUGCAGAAGAAUCAGAGGGAAUCAUUGGCCUAUAUGGUAUGGGCGGUGUUGGUAAAACUACAUUACUGACCCAUAUCAACAAUAAAUUUCUCGAGAGUCCAACCAACUUUGAUUGUGUGAUUUGGGUAGUAGUUUCAAAAGACCUGCGACUUGAAAAAAUUCAAGAAGAUAUUGGGAAAAAGAUAGGUUUGGUUGGUGAUUCAUGGAAGAGUAAAAGUGUAGAGGAGAAAGCUGUCGACAUCUUCCGGAGUUUAAGAGAGAAGAGAUUUGUAUUGUUGUUAGAUGAUAUAUGGGAGCGGGUUGAUUUAACAAAGGUGGGCGUUCCACUUCCCGGACCCCAAAAUACUACCUCAAAAGUCGUAUUCACAACCCGUUUCAUCGAUGUUUGUGGUAGCAUGGAAGCUGACAGGAAGUUCCAAGUGGCGUGCUUAUCAGAAAAGGAUGCUUGGGAACUGUUUCGAGAAAAAGUUGGGGAAGAAACUCUUCAGAGUCAUCAUGAUAUCGUUGAGCUAGCCCAAAUUGUGGCCAAAGAGUGUGGUGGUUUGCCACUCGCACUUAUUACUAUUGGUCGAGCUAUGGCCUGCAAAAGGACAGCCGAGGAGUGGAGACACGCAGUUGAAGUGCUAAGAAGAUCAGCUUUUGAGUUUGCAGGUUUGGGAAAAGAGGUAUAUCCUCUAUUAAAGUUUAGCUAUGAUAGUUUGCAGAAUGAGACGAUUAGAUCUUGUUUCUUAUAUUGUUGUUUAUAUCCCGAAGAUUAUGGAAUUCUUAAAUGGGACUUGAUUGAUUGUUGGAUUGGUGAGGGAUUCUUAGAGGAAUCUGACAGGUUUAGUGCAGAAAACCAAGGAUACUACAUUGUGGGCACUCUUGUUCAUGCAUGUUUAUUAGAAGAGUUAGAAGAUGAUAAAGUAAAAAUGCAUGACGUUAUUCGUGAUAUGGCUCUAUGGAUAACCAAUGAAAUUGAGAAGGAGAAGAGAAACUUUUUGGUUCGUGCAGGUGCUGGAUUAAAAGAGGCACCGGAUAUUAAAGGAUGGGAAAAUGUGAGAAGAUUGUCAUUGAUGCAAAACCAAAUUAAAACUCUGUCAGAGGUUCCUUCAUGCCCUCAUCUCCAUACUCUAUUUCUUGCCUCUAAUGAUAAUUUGAGGAUGAUCACAGAUGGCUUCUUUCAAUUUAUGCCUUCUCUCAAAGUUUUGAAGAUGUCAAACUGUGUGGAUUGGCCAGUUUCGAAAUUACCUUUGGCGAUGUCAAAGUUGGGUUCACUACAACUUCUUGAUAUUUCACAUACCGGCAUAGAAGAGUUACCAGAAGAGUUGAAGUUGUUGGUAAAUCUGAAAUGUUUGAAUUUGAGGUGGACAUUUGAGUUAAAUAAAAUUCCAUGGCAACUAAUAUCAAAAUUUUCAAGGUUACGUGUGUUGAGAAUGUUCGCUACUGGCUUUGCCCGUUUUGAUGAAGCAUCAGAAGACAGCGUUUUAUUUGGUGGGGGUGAAGUUUUAGUACAGGAAUUGGUCGGUCUGAAAUAUUUAGAGGUAUUGGAGUUGACCUUGGGAUGUCAUCAUGCUCUCCAAAUUUUUUUGAGAUCAAAUAAGUUAAAAAGUUGUAUUCGAUCUCUUCUCCUCCACUUGGCCGGAGAUACAACGUCGAUUAUCGAUGCUACGGCUUUCGCAGAUCUAAACCACCUCAAUGAAUUAUGGAUUGAUAGGGCUAAGGAGUUGGAAGAAUUGAAGAUUGAUUAUACAGAGAUAGUUCGAAAAAGGCGGGAACCUUUUGUUUUCCGCAGCCUUCACCGUGUUACUAUACAUAGCUGCCAGAAGUUGAAAGAUACGACAUUCCUCGUUUUUGCUCCAAACCUCAAGUCUCUCGAUCUAGACCGUUGCGAUGCUAUGGAAGAAAUAAUCAGCGUCGGAAAAUUUGCUGAGACUCCUGAGAUGAUGGGACAGAUAAGCCCUUUUGAAAAUCUCCAAAUGCUUGAUUUAGAAGAUUUGCCACAUUUGAAGAGCAUCUUCUGGAAGCCAUUGACUUUCACUCAUCUGAAAGAAAUAUCUGUGGGUUAUUGCCGUAAUCUUAAAAAGCUUCCACUCGAUUCCAACAGUGCAAAGGAGCGUAAAUUUGUUAUUCGUGGAGAAGAAGACUGGUGGAACCGACUUCAAUGGGAGAAUGAAGCCACUCAAAUUGCUUUUCGUUCCUGUUUCCAAUCUCUUUUUGAUUAACUCUUAUACAUUUUCUCGUCGUUUGCUUCGUGCAAAAAAGACUACGUCUUUUGUUCUCUGUUUUUAUUUCAGUUUCGUUUGUUGUCUCCUGCAAAUCACAAUUAAAUGUUGAAUUAUAUGGAAGUAACGCUUUAUAAAUUUUCCGGCACUGCCAUUUCUUUUUCCUCUUUUUUUUUUUGGGUCGAAUUGAUGCUCUGGCUUUUUUACUUUUUGUCAUCGAAUUUUGCUCUGUUUUUCAAAUUGAUGCUUGAAUAUGUGAAUUCAAUUAAUGCUCACAUAAUUUUGUUUAGUUGCCGUAAAAAGAAUAUAAUUAGACUGCAAUUCGCACUCCCAGAAUGAAUAGAAUCACAACAGAGAAAAUAUUAAGUAUGCUAGCCCUCUUUACAGAAAAUCAAAUGAAAAUAAAAUUUUUUGGAUAUUUGAUUUUCUAUGGUCUACUAUAUACAGUUUAUAAAUUCUUCUGUUCUAAGGAUAACCAAAUCCUUUGUUCAAGGAUUUUUAUUUGGGGUAUUGAUAAUAGUCCACCAAAAUAGUGAAUGCUUGGAUGCUGCUUAAGGAUCUGUAAUCAAUAAGCUGGAAGCAAACGAGAAGGCGGUCGCUACUCUGUACAAAGCCAUGCAGCAAUUGCUAUUCAUCUUAAAUUCUUAAUAAUUACGAAGCUUUGGUAAAAUUUCCGAACAAAGUUGACAUGUUAUUUUGAGAUUUGGUUCCUGAUUUUGUAUGAAUAUCGCUGUUUCGUUUGAGUUGGAUGUGAAUUCAAAUCCAAAUAUUCUUUGUUUUUCAAUUCUGAAAUCAAUUUCUUUUUCUCAAGAAUGUUAUUCAGAAAUGAUUUUUACUAAAUCAUUUUUGAUGAAUUGUUUAAAUUAAACAAUUGGAAUAAGAAUUGUAACGAUUUAUCAUAAGCGUGCUAAUAUGAUAACUUAUUUUACGAACGAUUAAUUAAUUAAUCAAUUAAUGUUAAAUUAUAUAUUAAUCAAUUAGCUAUGUGUUGCAUUUAUCAUGUUUUGUAGGUGAUUCUACAUAAUUUCUAAAAGAAUAUAGUAAAAACACGUUAAAAAUUAUUUAAUGAAGAAAAUUUUAUUAAAUAGGUGACACAAUAAUAAAUGGAUUUCUGUAAGAAUUGAGAUUCUUGAGAUAAUUAUUACAUAAGGAGAAGUUUAGUUGGUUCAAUUUUGACAUGAUAAGAAGACAACACAGCACAGAAAACCCAAAUUGCCACUUCCACUAAUAAAAGAUACCUGUUUGAAAAGUAAUUAUAAACUAUCUUCUUUGUGUUAUUUCUCAAAACUUUUGUGGCACAAAUGUUAUUUCCAUUGACAACAGUACGAAAUACCACCCCUUUCACUUGAGCAGGAGCAAAGCAAAGGUAUGAUGAGCUAUCUCUGUAUAAUUGAAACGCCAUUACUAAACGAUUCUUGAUGAUGGGAGCCACCGUGCCAGCUUUGUCGCUGAUUUGCAUGAUUUAUUAGUUGUCCAGAUGGCGGAUUUUGUACUGUUACCUUCGUUUCAUUCUUCAGAGCCAUGUACAGUUCUAGGAUACCAGAGAAACCAAGGUGGCAUUGAAGUUGCCCCAGUGGUUAGUUUUCCGAUCAUUUUUUUUAUUCAAUUAUUUAUGUUUGUAGAAAAAUGUAGGAAAUAUGUAGAAAUGUUGACAGCUAUGAUUUUGAAACUUUUGCCUAAAAUUGUUAUCAUUACUUCUUGUUUCUUAUUUAAAGAGAAAUUCUAGAAACAUGAAAUGAUUAUUCUACGCUUGUUUUAAUAUUAUGCUAUGAAGAUUAUGAAGGUUUGAUUAUAUGUCACUAUCAAUUGCCUUAAUCGUUUGUCGUAAAUCAAUUAAGCAUUUUGAUGCAAAUGAUUCCCUAUUAAAAAAUUCAAGUCAGAGCUGAAUUGCAAAUUAGUUAGUCGUGCUUGCCAUUCAAAUUAAGUAUUGUAUUUUCUCCCUGAUUUGGUUGAUUCAACUAUGUGCAUUUGCUUAUGAACGUUGUAGUACAGAAAUUGAAACAUCUUGUCUUUUGCUAAGCCCAGAAGCAAAUUCUUUGUAUUCUACUCAUCAGUUUUCUUCAUUCUCUUCGUUGAAAUUUUAUCCAAACAGCGGUUUCGAAAUUGUUUUCACCACAAUACCUUAGUCUUUCAGAUGCUCCCGUCACUGAGUUGCCAGAAGAGCUAAAAGCCUUGGUAAAUCUUAAGUGUUUGAACCGGAGUACACAAAUUAUCUCUCUACAAUUCCAAAACAACUGAUUUGUUACUUUUCGAUGCUACAUGUUCUGCGAAUAUUCAGUUGUGAUUAUCUUGUUCAAAUACCAGAAAAUAGCGUUCUAUUUAGUGGUAAUGAAUUCUUGGUUUGGGAGUUGCUUAGUUUAAAACGUUUAAAUGUAUUAAGCAUCAUCUUGAAAAGUUUUUCUGCCGUCCAAAAACUUAUGAGCUCCCAAAAGUUUCAAAGCUGUACACAAUGCUUGGAGCAUAUAGGCUGUGAUGAUCCAAAGUCAUUUGCCUUGGCAGAGUUGAAACAUCUUGAAAAACUAGGUUUUUCGAGUUGUGGAAAUUUGGAAGAGUUAAAGUUCUGCUGUGUCGAAGUUGCAAAGGCUCGAGAAUGUUUUCGUUUGAACGGCCCUUGCUGAGUUAAGAUGAAGGCUUGUCAUAAAUUGUGGGAAGCGACAGGUUAUUCAAAUAGAAAAAUGUAUGGAGAUGGAUGUUAAUCUUAAGGUUAUUCAAGCAGACAAAUUCGAAUAAAACUUAUGGUAAGUGCUUUUCCAUUUAUUGCAUAUUUAUAUCUAAUUUUUAUUUUCCUUUAUUGUUAAAUUUUGCUCUAUAUUUGUUGUUGUAUGGUGGCAUUCUUGUACAAUUAUUAGCUUUUCAUUUCUCUUCUCACAUUAACUGCCCUUCUGAUCAUGUAGGAUUUGCUGAUGCAAAGAGUCAUAAUUUGGGAUACAAAUGUAAGAAUUAGACAGAUGACGUGUUGUUUUGAAGCUCUCGAAGAAGAAGGACUAAUUAUGUCAUUGAAAGCCUCCAAUUUUGUGAUUGGUUUCUUUUUAUUUUAUUUGUUGUUUUCUCUAUUUUCAGAUCGCUUAAUUGUUAGUUGUUGUAAUGUAAUGUUUUAGUAUAGAAAAUUAUAUUCGGCCAAGACAGCGAUAGGAAGGCACAUUGUGCAUGCACACUAGUGGAUUUGGCAUGCCAACUCCAAUUAGGAUGGAUAACACUUUAUAAGCAUUAGGCUUCUCUCGUACUUGAGUAAUAUAGAAUAUGUUUAUAAGUUGUGAAUCACCCUUUAUAAGUGUUAGGCUUCUGCUAUACUCAGUGAUGUGAAAUAUAUUUAUAAGCACUAAACUUCUCCCAUACACUUUAUGUUAAAAAUAAUAAUAAUAAUAAUAAUAAUAAUAAAAUAAACCCAUUUUAACAGACUCUUUUUUCUUUUUCUAUAUGAACAAAUGCAUUCUUCAAAGCAAUUGUGGGUAGAAGAAGUGAGUAGAGAAGAACUGGGCCCCUUUCAUUCCCCUAAAACCUCACCAAAACCUCUCUUGUAAGCUUUUCGGAUUUUCUUUCUAUAUUUCUUAGGAACUCAUUUUUUAUUGAAUCACUUCUUUUGCAUGCUGCAUUUUUUGUUUGUCGUAUUUGGGUAUUAUCUUAUCUGGAAUACUGUUAUGAUUGAUGGAACAAGUAAUCGAUUUUUGGUCUAAUGGAAGUUGAUUUAUUUAUUUAUUGUUAUUUUUAUUUGAAAUUAUGUACAAUUGCAUUUCAUUCAUUUCUCUCUCUCUUUUUCUUUUUUUCCCCCCAUAUAUUUGUUAUGUAUAAUUGCGUUUCAUUUAAUAUUGAUCAUACUGUAGGUAACCAUGUGAUUGUAGAUUGGGAUUUCAAGUUUGUUGAAUAUUCAUGUAAGUGAAGUAACCGUCACAAUACUAGUGAAAUUGGGAGCUUUAUUCAUGAGUUUGUGGUUUUGAAAAGAACCACAGUUCAACUGAUGAAGGCUCCUUUUUGGGAUUCUUCUUUUUCUAGGCUGCAAUUAGGAUAUGUACAUGAUAGACAAUCUUUUGUUGGCUUGGCAUAUCUUCGCUGAUUUUUUCUUUUAUUCCCCAAUUUUAUAAUUACACACCAUGAAUGUUGGGUGAUUGUAUAGAAAAUUUGUGUUAUAACAAAAACAUUGUGAAGGAGUUUCCGUGCUAAUAGUUAGUGGCUUCUGUUUUAUUGGCAUUGAUUGGGUAGAUUACGUGUUACAGUGAUUCAAUUUGUGUUCCAAACUUUGCUUUAAUUUUCUGUUUUCCCCAACUAUUUAUGUCAAAUUUAAAUCCAGAAGCAUGUACUGAUUUUUUCUUUUUGUAUUAAUCUGUGAAGUUUAUUUGGAAUGGAAGUAACUGGGUCGGGUCUAAUGGAUUAAAUUAUGACAUUGAGGGGAAGGCACUAAAAGGGUUUGCUUGACACAUUUGGUUCUGUGUUUACUCUGCAAGAAAUAGCUUUUGCUUAUUGCAAUGCAGGGGGAAAUCCCGAUUUGGCUGGUGAAUUUCUCUGCAACAAACAGGCAAACACCUCAACCUCUUCUGUCCAUACUUCUGCUGGGGAGGCAAGGGGUAAAGAGUCUUCAAAAUCAUCAAAUAGUAACAUCUCUGAGAAUUCAUUUUAUGGAAAUGGAAAAUCUAGAGCUUCUAAUACAAAAUGGCAUCUGGUAUCAGGACGUACCGUUUCAAGUUUUCUUGGUAAAGAUUAUGUUAAACCUGCACAGCCAGCUAAUGGCACUUUUCUGGCAUCAAAGCCAUUGAAGUUGGAUCCAAAGGAGUUUCCCAUGUCUGCACUUUGCAGAGAAGAAUCUAAACCGAAACAAUCAAAGGAUGACCAUUUGCAGAAGGACAUGGAAGAUUUUCUGUUUAAAUUUCCAGGAGAAGGGUUCCAGCUGAACAGGGAUGUGAUUCAGGAGGUUCUCGGUAAUGUCUUAAAUAUAUUGAUGCCAAUUUAAUACAUAUUGUCCUUUUCAAUGUUCUUUCUUUCUUUCUUUCUCUUCUUUUAUUCUUCUUCUUCUUCUUUUUUCUUUUCGUGUGCAUGUGAUUGCUAAUUUUGUAUUAUUUUUAACUUGCAGAUAGUUGUGGAUAUGAUAUGCAAAAGGUAAGGACUAUAUCCUCCUGAUAGAGGCCUCUGCUUUUUCCCUUCUAUGUACGUAAUUUAGUAAAUCGCAUAUUCUAUAUAUCAUACCAAAAUCCUGUCUUAAAUGCUGCUGGCAUAUGUUAAGGUUCAACUUGCAUUUUGAUUAACGUCCAUUUGCUACGGCUUCCAAAAUUGAGAAUGAGAUACUUUGGUUAAUUUCAGUAGUUGAACCCAAUAGGGUACUUUAUUUAGAUCUUCAUGGUUCAAAGGCCCGAAAAAACUUGCAGGUAUUUGCAAAAUGACAUUCUGUGCUUUUAUUUAUACUUAUUAUUUAAGUGAUAAAAAUUCCCCAAACCUGCGGUCAAGAAAAUUUCAGACAGUUAAAGACUCCAUUUUGUUUCAGCCAAAAAUGUUUAUUUCAAUUAAAGAUUUGAACCAUUUUCAUUUAACCUGAUUGUGAUGCUUUACAUUGUGCACGUUCCUUUCGAUCAAUAAACGUUGAGGUCAUGAUUUUAUAUUCCUAUAUUGUAACCUAAAAUAAUAGUUGGUUUGCCUGUUUCUGUAGCUUGAUAACAUGAAUUUUCCUUCUGAAGUUACUUUGAUCAAUAAAGUUAUUCUUCGGAGAAGAUAUGCCCAUUCUAUAAUCAUUUUCUUAGCUAAUAUGUUUUUUUCACUCUUCUGAGCAUGUCUAAACUAAUUGAUCGCUCGGCAGAGACUGUGGGUAAGAAAACAAAAUUUCAUGGUAAAUCCUCUUAAAAGGUAUGCAUAAUUGAAAUGACCCGCCCCGAAUUCCCCUCAGGCGAGUCUAUCUAGUCUCAUCAAAACGGACUUGAUAAUAAUUCUAUUAGUAAAGACUCUGCCAAAAAUUCGGCAGAAUUUUUUUUUUUUUAUAUAUAACACUCCCAAUCUACAAAUAUGAAUAUAACACUCCCAAUACAAUUCAGUAUACAACAAACUCCAGUGAUCAACAUCUUCAACCAAAAUGCUGAGCUUUAUAUCUCCAGAGUCUCAAAAGAUAAUAUUAUAACUAAUAUUAAUAUCUUAGUUUAUUCUUAAUCCCAAAAGAAUAAUAUAACAAAAUUAUACAAUCCCAACAGGACGAGAUAACCAAGAUGUCCUAACAAAAAUAUUUAUAUCUUCUAACACCAUCACGUGGCCGAGAUUCAAAAUAUAUUUACAGUCGCUAGGUCGGUCUGGUGUACCUGCAACCUCCUGGUGAGGGGGGAAAAAUAUAAUAAAAACGGGGUGAGUUUAAAACUCAGUGAGAUCAGUGAGUGAAUAGUAGUUUUGAAAAUUAAUUCUUACUUUAAAAAAAAUAAUCGUAUCAUUUCCAAACACAAUUUCAUUAAACCAUAAGCGAGAAACCAAUAAUAAAUCAUUAAACAUUUAAAUCAUAUUACUAACCAUAGAAAUCAUAUCACAAUAUCAUAUAGAAUACACAAAUCUAAAAAUCAUCACCAAACAAGUACCCAGAGAAAUAAUCUCGUCAUAUCCGAACCUCAACAGACGGGCAAUGACGUACUAUCUAGGUAACGUCACACCCCGGAGCUACACGGAUAGACAGGGAAAUACCAUCUCAUAUCUCAUCAUAUAUGUGCAUGCAUAAUCUAGUCCCCAAGGGACAAAAGCGCCCAAGCACACGGCCCAAAGCCUCUGUGUAUACUCAGAGGGACCCCAAAGGCCUAUAUCUCAUAUGUAUCAUAUGUAUCAUUUGUAUCUCAAUUAUCUCAUAUCCGUAUAUCUGUAAUCAUCAUACCGCAUGCAUAUGCCCCCAAAAGGAAAAAGCGUCCAAACACACGGCCCAAAGCCUUUAUAUAUAUUCAGACGGGUCCUAAAAGCCUCUCAUCUCAUCUUAUCUGUAUCACUGUAUCUGAAGGGAAUGGUACUGUCUAAUGAUUUCAAAAACAAUCAUUAUACUCAUAUUCACAUACCUCUUAAUCAUAUUUUAAAUCAUACCACAUUUGAAUCCACUUUUCUUAUCUUUAAAAUACUAUCAUGCUUUAUUCAAAGUCGAUACGCAAAAUCAAUAACCAAACAUUUUAAUAAAAUACCAAUGCGUAAAUAAAAUCCAUUUCGAGAAAUCAUUAAAUCAGAACAUUUAAAAUACUUAUUUCGCAAACAUGCUUUACUAUCAUCGCUAACUAUGAAAAUAAGUUUUGUAUAUUCCACUCACAGUGACGGUGUUCACGGUCGGUUCUCGCUCGCGGAUCCUCCUAAAUCAACGAAACGACAUAAUUAUUUUCCGUAAAUCGGAAUUAUGACUAAAUUUUAUGCAAUAAAUUUAAAACGAACAUAUAUUCAUAAUUGACAACUCCUGUGUCCAUAAAAUUACUAAAAUGCCCUUGAGUCUGUAAAUCAUUAACAUGCUUCGAAAUCGUAAAUUACUGAAUUACUCUCGGAAUCGUAAUUACACUCAAUCCUCAAUUCUAGGAAUUACUAACAUAUCCACGGGCUCAGAAAUUACAAAUUUGCCCUCAUAGUGUGAAAUUACCAAAAACUGGAAUUUGGUCAACACUGGCUAGGAAGCUCAAAUCGUAAAGUUCCAAUCACGCUGAGUUCAAUGGUACCGGCGAUGAUCUCCAACGCGCGGCAACGACGCCGGAAUCUAGCUCGGCAGCCGUGAAUUCCACCAAUCGACCGGCGGCAAAACAGUGACUCUCGGUGCCUAUGGAUGGUCGGAAAUGGAAGAGGGAGUCGUGGGGAACAAAAUUCAACCGGUGGUGUAGCCAAAACCGGCGAAAAUCCCGGCGGAGCAAAGUGAAACAGUCGCGGGUUUCAAGCUUCGAUCGCCGGUGUUCCGAUUGGUUUUUGGCGAGGAGGAUGGCAAGGGAACGACGGCCGGCUUCUAAGCUUCAGAUUGGUACCAAGCUCGGCCGAAACGGUGGCCGGAAAUGGGAGAUAUGGCCGGGUCAAGGUCGCGGGUUCCGGGUCGGGUUUUCGGGUCUGUAGUUGGGUCGGUUUGGCAGCUUCUCUCUCACUCUCUGUUACACGUGCAUAUGUUUCCUCUGUUUCUAGCUUAUUCUUUUGCUUUUACUAACUUCUUAACCGCCUCAUACUUAUUCAUUUUUAAUUCACAUAUGUUACAAUAAUUCCCGAGUAUUAAAUAACCAGUGGUCAUAAUUUUUGUACACGACUCUUUUUUUUUUUGGAGAUCGUUAAAAGUGAUUGACGAUCCAUUUUGUAAUAUCAUAGAGGGAUCAUCAAUUCCUUUUCUUUUCUGUGGCUAGGCAACACUUUUUGGCCAAAGUAAGGAAAUCUAUUUUAGGUAAUGUAAAAACCAGUUGUAGGAUGUAAUAGUUUAUUAUGCACUGACAAUAACUUUUUGUAUAAUUGUCAGUUUAAUGAAUACAAGAGGAACUCUGUUGGCAAAUUCAUCCAAGAUAGAUGCUAAAAUUAUUUAUGCAUGCCAGUUGCCUUAACUAAGUUUUCUCAGCACUGGUUUUGAACAGGAAAAUGAAUAUGCAAUUUGUAGAUUGUGCCAUAGUGGAGAAUUUGUAUAUUCUUAUUUAAGUAACAAGGAGAUUAUUUACCUCAUCUUUAAACAAUGAAUCUUUGAGAGAUGAGGAGUGGGUGAUUGGCUGUGUCUUCAUGUAAUUGUUCAUUUAUUUGUAUUUUGAACUGUUAUGAAAAUCUUUAUAUGCCAAAUUAGUAAUACAAGUAUUCAGAUGAUUUUUCCUAUUGAUCAUGCAUUUGUAUCUGCCCACAACCAUUGUAUAUCACUUUAUUCUGAUGCGCAAGCAUCUGUAAUUUAGAAGAAAAGAAAUAAUAAUCAUAUUUUAUUGCUUGGUUCAUGAUUAUUAACGAUUAUGGCUUUAAAAAUCUACAAAUUUCUUGUGUUCAUGUAUGAAUGUGCCAAGUUUGCUGUAUCUUAGAUUACCUUCUUCCAAGAUAACAAGUUCAUAUAUAUUUUUUUUUAAAAUCCUUUUCCAUUACAGUUGAAUUUCAAGUGUUAGUUUUGUUAUUAGUACCUGGUUUCCUGUUAUUAGGAUCUAAUAAACAGUGUACGGAUAUGUGCUCUACUUUUGGAGGGCCUCCACGUGAAAGAAAAUUGCAACAAUUGAAUUCUUCCGGAGGGUAUGGUAAUUAAUUUAUUUUCUCAACUUGUUGUAAGACUAAUAUAUUUCCUUCAGUAGGCACGGCAUGGUGGGAAGGGUUUUUAUUGAAAGAAUUCUGAUAUUUCUUAGACUUUGUUUUGGAAGGGGGUGGAGGGAUUUCUCAUCCAUAUAUGGUUACUUGAUUAGCUUUUGACUGUAUUGUCUCCGUCGUGCAAAGGAAAAUCUAAAUACUAACGAUGGGGAAUUGCUUAGGCACCCAAAAGGCAGAAAUGAAUUACAGAAGGAAGUUUUUGCUGCUUUAUUUAGUGCUGCUGAGAAAUCUGAUGAAUUUCCUGAAAUUACGGUGAAGACCGAGUGGAGGUCCAAAGCAUUAGGAAAGGUGGUGAGUGAACUGCCGGAGGAAUUAGUACCAGAAUACAAGGCUAAUGUGGUGCACUUGCAGCAAGAUAACCAGACCGGUAUGUGCUCUUAUAUUAACUAUAUUGACUGGAUUUGUUAGUGUGUGCAUUUUUUUGUGUAUACUCACUUUUGUAUUUAUGCAUAUUAACAUGUGUAGGAUUCUUGAUUUCUGCCACUUACUGGAGAACUAGUGGAAAGCUUUAUACUGAUAUAUCUGCAAUAACUAAUGGAAACUAUGAUAUGAAUAUUUUCUCUCACCUGGGGAGCUGUGUAACAGAUAUACUUUGUGGCUCUGGAAUGCUGAAGAUUCUGCAAUAACUAAUGGAAAAUAUGAUAUGAAUAUUUUGUCUCACCUGGAGAACUUUGUUACAGAUACCCUUUGUGGCUCUGGAGUGUCUAAAGAAUGCUUCCGUUAGAUCAAAUAUCUUUUAGUUAGAAAAGAUAAAAUUCUCUGAGUCUGAAAGACUGAAACAUUUUGCAUAUUUUGUGAAAGGGAAAUAUCUGUUGAUACUAGCUCAUGCAUUGAGGUAAUAUCGAUGUUAAAGAAAAACAGCAAUGAUUUAUGAUAUAGAAUUGGGUUCACUUGCUUUAAAUGCUGGUCUGAUCAACCAUAUCAACCUGUAAUGAUUCUGCAGAAAUAUAUAUACAAGGAGAAAGUAGCUAAAUUUUUCUUUCAUUUAUGGGUUCGGUCUUUUUUCCCCUUAUUUUUCAGCUUUCCUUCUCCUGAAGUAUGUUAACAAUUGCAGAUAAUGAUGAAGAGGACAGCUUCCAGGCUCUCCUUGGAGCCAUGAUGGAAUAUAGGGGCACAAUGAAGGAAUAUUGUAAAGCUGUAGGUACUUUUUCUCCUGUCAUUUAUGUUUUCUCACACAUUUUGUAUAUGCCCUGAACAUGCACCUUUGUAUGUAUCAAUUGACUUUUAAAUUUUAAAAGCCAUAAAGUAAGAAUACGGUUCCUUGUCAGGCUACUGAUGACAUUCGCUCAGGGGGAUCAUGUUCGAGCAGGAAAAUUUCUAGAACAGGUAAGGUUUCCAUCUACAGCCAUCCAUUGACAGCAGAUAAAUUUUCAUUCAGCAGACUCUGUUAGCAUUCAAGAUGCUGGCAGAUUCACUUGAUUCUUAUUAGCUUGUUUAGUGGCAAAGCCUAUAACCUGUAUUUCAAAGCCAAGUUGUGCUAUUGAUUAUGUUAACUUUUUUGUUAACAUAAAAUGAUAUGGAGGAAAUAAUCAGUGUUGGAAAAUUAGGUGAAAAGAUGAUGUCAAAUCUUGAACCUCUUGCGAAACUCUAAGUUCUUUACUUGAAGAGGCUACCAAAUUUGAACAGCGUCUACUCGAAGGCCUUGCCAUUCCCUGAUGCAUGCAGAAUUUUUGUAUUUAAAUGCCCAGAGCUUAAGAAGCUGGCACUGGAUCUUGAAGGGGCAGACCAAGGUAAAAUUCUUAUCAAGGGAAAGGAAGAUUGGUGGAAACAACUUAAUGGGAGGAUCAAGUAACUCAGAAUACAUUGCUUCCAUUUUUUAAAUCGACUGACAAGUGAUUGAACGGGGCAUCAUCAAUAUCAUCAACAGGGAUGGAGAGAUGCCGGAGCAGAUCAGCAGGGUUUGAAUAUGACCUUCGGCGGUUGCUUUUUUUUUUUGUGAUUUUUUUUCAUUUUUUCCUUCCUGUCAUUUUAUCAUUUCUUUGGCUCUGUUUCUAUUGCGGGUGUUACUGCAUGCUUACUGUUGCUUGACAAAGUUUGCUAGCUUUUUGUUUGCAGCGCUGCUAUACGCCCCGAGUCAAGCCCCGAAAAUUUAUUAAACGACGCCGUUUCGACAGUAACAAUUCUUUUCUUUUCCCUUUGCCUGUUUCUUUCAUCUGCUGUUUCUCUAUCACUUUUCAUUUUUGAUUUCCGUGCUUCCCAGCUGCCCCUAAAUUGUUAUUCUAGCAAUAUACUUUCUCAUCUUUGAAUUUUCAUCCUUGAGUACUCCCACAGCCGUAAUUUCAUCAUUAUAGACUUCACUUGGAAUGCUAGAUUUUUUCGAUUCUUGAGCUACUUCAAUUACAUCUUAGUAUAGGAUCCUCAUCUUCCUUUAUUUCUUCAUCUUAUGAGGUAACAAAUGGAUUUCACAACUCAUCUACUUUUAAGCAAUUACAUAUUAUACCCUGAAUGAUUCAACUGUUCCGACAGUUAAAGAUUUUAUGCUCAACCUGCAGUGCUACGAACAUUGUCCAUGAAAGAUGAGUUUCAGCAUAUAAAAUGAAAUAUAGAUGUUUAAUCUAAAAUAACCCUUCACUGCCAGAAACCUAGGUCACAAAAUUCACAGAUAAUGAUAAAGAACUAAAAAAUUUGAAAAACUCUACAGAUCACACAUCAAGCAAGAUAUCAUGUUUUUUUCCCUCAUUCGGUGGUGAUUGAUUCGCUUUUUGAUGAUGGAUAUGGUAUAAAAGUUUUGACCCAAUUUCAAGCAAACACAAAUAGAAACACAAACACAAUCAGGACUAGAGUUGUGGGCGAUUAUCUCAGGUGUACAAGUGAAACGGUGGUGGCUGUCGAUGGUGGUAGUGGGGUGGUUGGGUAUGCGUGAUGGCUAGAUUUUAGGACAAUAAUGGUUGGAGUUGACCUCAAUCAACGAAGGAAAGUGACAACAAUUUUGACAUCAAAUGGUGCAUUUUUUAGCUUAGUAAAAUGGAACCGUUUUGAAUUUGGGGUUUAAUCCGGGGUUUGACUCGGUGCAAGUAUCAUUUUCCUUUUGUUUAUUAAAUUUUUUAUGGUCACAAAGUAUUACUCGUUCUAUUUGAGAGUGAUGUGAAUCAAUUUUUCAAUUUUAUAUUUUGUGGUCAAUGUGAAUUCAAUUUCAUUUGUCUCCUGCAAUUAUGAAAAAAUUGCAGUCAUAAUAUGGAAAAGUACACCGGCAAAGACUUUGUAAAACCUUCGGAGUGAUACGGGGAAUUCACUUACAACUAAGGACAAUUGGUGGCAAGUUAUUCCAUUCAUUUUAUGUCCAUGCAUCUAUUUAGUUAUUGAAGAUUAGUGGUCCAUUUGUAAAUUUCAGAUUGUCUCUCUCUCUCUCUCCCACUUGAAAUAACAAUAUUUAAUAUAUCUCUUAAAUUAUUAUAAAUUUUAAUUUACUCUCGAUUUAAAAUGGAGCAUGUCGAUAAAUUUUUUUUCUUCUUAAUAAAAUUGACGUAAUUUGUGUUUACAGUAGUUUGAAGUUUGAAAUAUUUUAAAGAUUAUUAUUCUAUAAGGGAGUAAUAUGAAAUGAAAUUUACUUUUCAUGUGUGAACUGAAAAAGGACGAAGCAAGUGUCCCUGCUUUUAUUUUAUUUCAAGGAGGAGUCAUCUCGCAUACUUUGGCUCUUAACAUUACAUUUUUUCUGGUUACAUUUUUUAUUUUUUUUUACACAUGCGUGUGGGUUGCUUUUCUGUAAGCUCCUUAAUAUAUAUUUAAGACAAAUCAUGGAAGAGAUGGGAUUAUAUCAAGAUGAUCAAAGCAUGUAAAAAAAGAAAAAAGAAAAAAAAAAUUAAGAAGUAAGACACUGAAAAUGGAGAAGAGAUGGAAGCAAAAGAUAUUCCAAAACAAAGCAAUCUAUCCCCCUUCGAGGGCAGACUUAUCAGGUUUAAAAAAGUACAUGCUUUGGAUUGGUAGUUGCAAUCAAGGGAAAAUAAAUAGGAUCCAAUGAAAUUUAAAUCUCGGAGAAAAUAAAUAAUCAUGCAGAUUUUCAAGAUUUUAAUAAGGGAUACUAAUAUCUUAUUUUGAUUAAUAACAUUCUUUUACUGUGUUAACUCAAAAAAAAUAUUAUAAUGCUUUACAAUAAAUACAAAUGUCCUAUUAAAUGAAUAUAUAAAAAAUUUAGAAAAUUAUAUAAAAUAAUUUUAAUAUAAUGCGUGAGAUAUAUUUUAUUAAUUUAAAAUGUCAUUUUACCUAAAAAAUAUGAUAAAUUAAUAAUUACAUAUUUGAAGUUAUUUCAAAUAUUAAAAAAAUUUAAUAUUAUUAAUCUUUUAGAUAGAUUAAAUUAUUUUUUAAAGAGAUAGAUUAAAUUAUUUUAAAAUACCUUAAUUGUUUUUACUUUAAACAUUACCGGCCUUUCUUUUAUUUUAUUACAAAUUAAUGCUAACAAGAAAAAGUUAGAUCAUAUUCCACAAAAGCAAAAGUGACAAACACAACCAGCUGGAAUCUUUUAUAAAACUACAAAUUAAAAUGGAUUUUUUUUUUAAAAAUUGUUAUAAAUUGGUGGCCCCUACAAUCCUCAAUAAUUGCACCGAUAUUCACAAGUUGGUGGCCCCUACAAUUCUGUUCCGAUAAUUUAACUGUGCAAGUGCUUAAUAAUUGUUUUGUUUUUUUCUGCAUUCCCUUUCAUGCUCUUAAUAAUUGAAGAGCAUACUUUUCAAAUGUGGAGCCGCAGCUAAUGUCGCUAAUUUAAUUUUGGAUUAAAUUAGGGGACCAUUAUAUUGUAGUGUGCACUAAUGAAUAUGUGAGAUAUUCAUAUUUUAUUAAUUUAAAAUACCAUUUAACCUAAAGAUUUAUUUAUGAUAAAUUAAUAAUUAUAUUUUUGAAAUUACUUCAAAUAUUAAAAAAUUAAUAUUACUAAUCUGUUAGAUAGAUUAAAUUAUAUAUAUUAUUUUCUAUUUAUUAAAAAAUUAAAAUUAUUUUUAAUUACUAUUCAAAAAAUAUAAUGAUAAAAAAAAUCUUAACAUCUUUAUUAAAAAUUUAAAAAUUUACAUGAUCAAUUCUCUAAAUAUUUAGGGUAUAUGUGAACCACGGUGGAGAAGCUUUAUUUAAUAUUAUUGAUUUAAAUAAUAUGUCAAUUAAAAAUGUACAGAGAAGGAAAUUUCGGUGGGUAUUUUAGUCUUUUCAGCAAUUAUCAUGAUCAGAUCAGCCUUUAGCCUUGAAACGUCGAUCAGAAAAGUUUUAAAAUGCUUAAUUGUUUUUCACUUUUAAAAAUUAAUGCUAACAAGAAAAAGCUAGGUCAUAUUCCACAAAAUCAAAAGUGACAAAACAACCAGCUGGUUUCUUUUACUAAACUACAAAUUAAAAUAGAUUUUUUCGAUAAAUUAUAAAUUAAAGUGGAUUCUUUUGAAUACAAGUGAGACAGACGAUUAGGCUCUUUUUAUUAAAGGCAAGUAAAAACUAGUCAAGAAUCGAAUAGUCUUUUUCAAAUUCUUGUUUUAUUAUUUUUCAAAACUAGUUUUUGGUAAUUACAAUCGGGUCAUUCAUUAAUCAUUAUUCAAAGUUACUGUUAUCUUCGGGGGCAGUGGGUAAAAGAUAAUUACUAACUGUUUUUCCUUCAAAAGUUACCGGCUCAUGUUUGCAAGUGUGAAUGUGCGAUGCUCUUUUCUUAAAGGCAAUUACAGUGGGGCCCGAAUCAGAGGUGCCUAAAUCUUUUUAAAAUUAAUAAUAAUAUGAGUAAUAAUUAAUAAUUACAGUGGGUCAACUUUUGAAAUUAGAGUCUAGUAUCUCUCUCCCUGUCAUUACUAAAUUUUCUCUUCCACAGCCUACAGCAGCUUCAGUUUAUCAAACUCAAUCAAUUUUCUUUCUUAACAAAAUUCCAAAGAUGUGUAGUAUUUUUCAGAUCACAUGCGAUGGUGCUCUUUUCAAUCGUUGCUUGGAUUGCUUUCUUGGAAAAGCAGCAUACAUACGUAACCUCCAAGAUAAUCUUGUAGCCUUGGAGACUGAACUGGGAAGACUAAUCGCAGCAAAGAACGAUGUGAUGAUGAGGGUUGUCCAUGCUGAACGGCAACAAAUGAGAAGGCUGGACGGAGUGCAAGUGUGGGUUUCGAGGGUGGAUUCUGUUAAAACUGGAGCCGACGAACUUAUCACAGACGGCUCUGAAGAAAUUGGCAAAUUAUGUGUUGGAGGCUACUGUUCCAAGAACUGCAGGUCAAGCUACAAAUUCGGAAAACAAGUGGCUAGAAAGCUACGACAUGUGGAGACUUUAAUCGCCGAGGGAGUUUUUGAGGCGGUGGCUACUGAGGUGGUGCCCGAGAGAGCUCCGGAACCUGUAGCAGAUAAAAGACCCAUUGAGCCAACAAUAGUAGGCUUGCAAUCACAACUUGAACAAGUCUGGAGAUGUCUUGCAGAAGAAUCAGCGGGAAUCAUUGGCUUAUAUGGUAUGGGCGGUGUUGGUAAAACCACACUAUUGACCCGUAUCAACAAUAAAUUUCUUGAGAAUCAAAACAACUUUGAUUGUGUGAUUUGGGUCGUAGUUUCAAAAGACCUGCGGCUUGAAAAAAUUCAAGAAGAUAUUGGGAAGAAGAUAGGUCUGUUUGAUGAUUCAUGGAAGAAUAAAAGUUUUGAAGAGAAAGCUGUGGACAUCCUGCGGAGAUUAGGAGAGAAGAGAUUUGUAUUGUUGUUAGAUGAUAUAUGGGAGCGGGUUGAUUUAACAGAAGUGGGCGUUCCACUUCCCAGCCCACAAAAUACUACAUCAAAAGUCGUAUUCACGACCCGUUUCAUUGAUGUUUGUGGUAGCAUGGAAAGUCACAGGAAGUUUAAAGUGGCAUGCUUAUCAGAAGAGGAUGCUUGGGGGCUGUUUCGAGAAAAAGUACGGCAAGAAACUCUUGAGAGUGAUCAUGAGAUCGUUGAGCUAGCCCAAACUGUGGCCAAAGAGUGUGAUGGUUUGCCACUCGCACUUAUUACUAUUGGUCGAGCUAUGGCCUACAGAAAGAAAGCGGAGCAGUGGAGACGCGCAAUUGAAGCGUUAAGAAGAUCAGCUUCAGAGUUUGCAGGUUUGGGAAAAGAGGUGUAUCCUCUUUUAAAAUUCAGCUAUGAUAGUUUGCAGAAUGAUACGGUUAGAUCUUGUUUCUUGUAUUGUUGUUUAUAUCCUGAAGAUUAUGGCAUUCUUAAACGGGACUUGAUUGACUGUUGGAUUGGUGAGGGAUUUUUGGGGGAAUCUGACAGGUUUGGUGCAGAAAACCGAGGAUAUGACAUUUUGGACACUCUUGUUCGUGCAUGUUUAUUAGAAGAGUUAGAAGAUGAUAAAGUAAAAAUGCAUGACGUUAUUCGUGAUAUGGCUAUAUGGAUAACCUGUGAAAUUGAGAAGGAGAAGAGAAAAUUUUUGGUUUGUGCAGGUGCUGGAUUAAAAGAGGCACCGGAUGUUAAAGGAUGGGAAAAUGUGAGAAGAUUGUCAUUGAUGCAAAACCAAAUUGAAACUCUGUCAGAGAUUCCUACAUGCCCUCAUCUCCUCACUUUAUUUCUUGACUUUAAUGAGAAGUUGGAGAUGAUCGCGGAUGGCUUCUUCCAAUUUAUGCCUUCUCUCAAAGUGUUGAGGAUAUCACACUGUGGGCAAUUAGAAGGUUUUCAAUUACCUAUUGGGAUGUCAGAGUUGGGUUCGUCACUAGAACUUCUUGAUAUUUCAUAUACCAGCAUAAGAGAGUUACCAGAAGAGUUAAAGUUGUUGGUAAAUCUGAAAUGUUUGAAUUUGAGUUGGGCACAUAGGUUAUAUAAAAUUCCACGGCAACUAAUAUCAAAUUCUUCAAGGUUACGUGUGUUGAGAAUGUUCGCUACUGGCUAUGUGUGUCUUCAUGAAGCAUCAGAAGACAGCGUUUUAUUUGGUGGGGGUGAAGUUUUAGUACAGGAAUUGCUCGGUUUGAAAUAUUUAGAGGUAUUGGAGUUGACCUUGGGAAGUUAUCAUGCUCUCCAAAUUCUUUUGAGCUCAAAUAAGUUGAAAAGUUGUAUUCGAUCUCUUUUCCUACAGUUGUUCAGAGAUACAACGUCGAUUAUUGAUGCUACGGCUUUCGCAGAUCUAAACCACCUCAAUGAAUUAUGGAUUUAUAGAGGUAGUGAGUUGGAAGAAUUGAAGAUUGAUUAUACGGAGAUAGUACAAAAAAGGAGGGAACCUUUUGUUUUCCGCAGCCUUCACCAUGUUACCAUAUAUAGUUGCACUAAAUUGAAAGAUUCGACAUUCCUCGUUUUUGCUCCAAACCUCAAGUCUCUUCAGCUACUCGAUUGCUAUGCUAUGGAAGAAAUAAUCAGCGUCGGAAAAAUUGCUGAGACUCCUGAGAUGAUGGGACAUAUAAGCCCUUUUGAAAAUCUCCAAAGUCUUUAUUUAAAUGAUUUGCCAAUUUUGAAGAGCAUCUACUGGAAGCCAUUGCCUUUCGCUCAUCUAAAAGAAAUGACGGUGCAUCGGUGCGAUCAGCUUGAAAAGCUUCCACUCGAUUCCAACAGUGCAAAGGAGCGUAAAUUUGUAAUUCGUGGAGAAGAAGACUGGUGGAACCGACUUCAAUGGGAGGAUGAAGCCACUCAAAUUGCUUUUCGUUCCUGUUUCCAACCUCGUUCCUGAGCGGUGGUCGCAAAAUUUGAUUUCUGGUGAGUGCGUUUGUCUUUUAAAAGAAGAAUUUAAAAGAAAUUUAUUCUUGUCGAUUGUUUUCUUCUCUGUUUUUAUUUGAUUUCUGGUGAGUGCGUUUGUCUUUUAAAAGAUGAAUUUAAAAGAAAUUUAUUCUUGUCGAUUGUUUUCUUCUCUGUUUUUAUUUGAUUUCUGGUGAGUGCGUUUGUCUUUUAAAAGAAGAAUUUAAAAGAAAUUUAUUCUUGUCGUUUGUUUUCUUCUCUGUUUUUAUUUGAUUUCUGUUUUUAAUGGAAUUAAUGCUUCAUAAAUUUGCCGGCACUGCCAUUACUUUUUUUUUUAAUACAAAUUGAUACUUUAUUUAUAUCUUCUUAGCGAUUUAAUUUCCUGUCAAUAGACGAACGAGAAGAACAUAUGACUUAAACCAAUGCUCGCAUAAACUUGCUGUAAAAAGAUAUAAUCUCACUGAAAUGCACACGUCUAGAAUGAAUAGAAUUAAAACAGGGAAAAUCAAUCAAUUCCACCUUUUGCAAUUUCUUCUGUUCUAACAAAAACCAAUUUCUUUGUUCAAGUAUUUUCGUUUGGGUAUUAAUAAUUCUCCACCGAAAGAGUGAACUCUUGCUCAAGGGAUCUCUAAUCAAUUGCCGGAAGGGCGCCGAGACCUGAUCGGACCUAGGCCCAAGUUUGGUCUUAAAGCCUGGGCUUGAGCCUGGCAAUUAAAUUAAAACAUUAAUUGAUUUCUUGGUUGAUUUGUCGUGUAAUUGAUUUAUGGGGGAUGACACAUCAACAUACUUGAAAAUACACUAAUCUCAGCAUCAUCGGUUAAUAACUUUUAGAUUUAUGCGUAAUCAAUAGUUAAGAUUAGUUGUCAUUAAUACUAAAUAUUUUUUACUUUUUUUGUCUCUUCUAGAAAAAUGCAUCCACAAUUAAAUUUAAUACUUUACAUAAUAAACAAAGCAUAAAUGUUAAAUUUAAGAAACUGCAUUGUAUUUCAGCUGAAGUUGACUUUAAUAUUUAGGGUAGAAAAAAAUUAAAUCCUUAAUGUGUUUAAUUUGUAUCACUUGUGUCAUUAAAAUUUUCUAGUCACCCUAACCAAUUACAUCUCAACCCACUUUGUUUUUGGAUGAUUUUAUUUUUAGACUAUUAUUUUCAUCAUUUUUUUUCCUUUUAACACCAACAUUAGUGUAUGUUACGUAACAUAAUUCAUAUUUGGAUCAUUUGAAAUUUGCUUGUGUUUUAUCUAAAAAUAGAGCUUCAAUCAAAUUGUACCUCAUAAAUUCACAAUAUCUAUGAGGGCUAAUGAGACCAAACUCUGGCAUAUUGUCAAAUGUGCUUAUCCUUUUGCUUGACAUGUCAUUUUAAAAUUGUCAUUCAAUGCCAAAAAAUCACAUCAACUGAUGGCCGACUACUUUAAUUUGAAAGCAUGCAUGCGAUCGCCAAUAAUUAUAACUUAAUUGUUAUUUUGAAAUUUUUUUCUUUAUAAUUUUUAAGUUUAAUACUACUACAUGUGCAGCACAUAAGUUGGAAAAUAUAACAUAAAAUUUGAAAAAUGUGUAGCUUUCGUUCCUUUUUUUUCUUAAAAAUGGGAAAAAAGAAUGUAGUUUUGUUUAAAUUACUGUUGUGAUUACAAUUAUUAUUUUAUUGAUUAAUUGGCAGAGAAUCGUAAUGGUUUUGCAUGGUUGUUAAAACAUUGGAAAAUCCACUACAUCAUCCGUUAAUAACUUUCAGAUUUAUGAUUAAUCAAUAGUUGAGAUUUGUUAUCAUUAAUGCUAAAUAUUUUUUUAAUAUUUUCUCUCUCUCUUAGAGGAUCAUCCAAAGUAAAAAUUUAAUAUUAUAAAUAGUAAACAAAGUAUCAACGUUAAAUCGAAGAAACUGCAUUGCAUUUCAACUGAAGCUAACUUUAAUAUUUAAUGGAGAAAAGUAAUUAAGUCCUUAAUGUGCUUUAUUUACCCAUAUAUAUGGCUAAUUUUUCAAGAUAAAGGGGAAGGAUGAUGCUCAAAAAUAUAAAUUAUAGAAUUAAUUGAACUCUCAAGUAAGUUUAAAGUUCAUUAUUUUUAAUUACUUGUUUAUAAUUUAUUUUUAUUUCGUAUUAAUCUAUGGAUCUAAAUCCCCUUUGGAUUCAUAUACAUAUAUAGACAUAAUGUGUAUGUUAAUCUAUAGGUCUGAAUUCACUUUAGGUCUAUAUAGGUAUUUUGACAAAUGUACUCCAAUCAUGCAUAUUGGCAAGUUCUAACUACUCUAUUGAUAUAUCAAUAUUAUUUCUAACUGCACUAUAGGUCCAAAAAUAAGUUAGAAAUACAAAUUAACAUAAAAUAAAAAUAAUUGGUAGAAAAUACAAAUUAUAAACAUAUAAUUGAAAACGAUAAACUUUAAAUUUACUUAAGAGAGUAAUUAAUUUCAUAGUUAAAAUCUUUAAAUUUUACCCCUCAUCUUAACUUAAGAAAAUUAAUCACUUAUUUUAUUUAAUAAAGAAGAGAUUUUUUUCCCCUAUAUUUCCCAAUUAUUUCUCUCCCUCUCGCUCCCGUAAGUUAUACAACUUGAAGUGAAAUAUGAGUGGUCUGAUUCUAGCUUAAAUAAUUUAUUGUGACAUGCUAUCUAAGGACAAUACAUUACCUAGCUCUACAUAUUUUAUUUAACCUCCGGCCCACCCUGUGCAAACUUGCCUUUCCCCUGCAAGACAAGAUUAAUCAAUGUAUCAAGUCUCAAAUUCAAUUUCGAAUAUGACCAUCGUACGCUCUUGUUCUUCCCUCUUUACGAGUGCAUUCCCCCCAACCUCAAGCUCCCUCUCUCGUCUUCAAUGUCACUGCUUAUAUCCUUAUGUUGUUCUAGUUUGAAAUAGUGGCUUCCACUAUUUCAGGGCCCCCAAAAAUCCAGAAACAUACUAUUCAUCACGAUGACAAAAUUUUUGGCAGGCAGGUGCUUCCUGACUUUCACACGGUAAUUCUCAAAUUCUGAUUUCACCAUAUUUUAAUUACUGAUUAGCAUAUAUUCAAGUGCUCUCCAUUAUAACGGAAGCCGCCGCCUCACUCGUGAUUCCAAACUUUUAUCUUUUUUUCCUUUUUUAAAUUAAUGCAAGUAGCCGCUGUCCUUUUUAUUAAUUAAUUAGUUCGGCCGCCCACAUUUCUUUUCCUAAUGUCUUCUACUGUCGAUUUUCUUUUAUUUUCUCUUUUUUCUUAAAAUAUACUUAUAAUAAUAAAAUAUAAAAAUAAAAAUUAACAUAUCAAAAUAUAAUUUAAUAGAAAAUUAAGAUAAAAAAUAAAAAAAUUAUGAGCAUAUCAAUCAAUAAAUGAAAAAUAAUAAUUUUUAUUUUUAUUAAAUAUAUAUUUUUUAAAAUUAAUCAAUUAUCUGAAUAAAUCAAAUCAUUUAAAAAUAAAUAAAUAAAUUAUUCUUAAAUAAAAAAAAGAAACUUUUUAUAACACUCACUAUGCUGGUUGUAGGGUAGACGCUUUGGGGACUGAAGCUGGUAACUUCUACAAGUAGUCUUAAGUUGACUGGCAACAACUAUAUUGGCAUUUAGACAUAAUGUACUGCAACCAUAUUGGUAUGUUCAAAUGUUCUUACUAUUGUAUUGGUGUAUCAAUAUUAUCUCUAACUGCCUUAUAGAUUAAAAAAAAUCUAAAUUUACAAUUUAACAUAAAUAAAAUAAUUGGUAAAAAAACAAUUAUGGUUUAUUUACUUAUCAGUAAUCAGAAUAGACUGAAAUCGAAAUGAGCUGUAUUACCGUUAAUGUGUUUAUGUUGUCCUUGAAUCGGAAUGAAUUAUUUUAAGUUACUAAAAUAUCAUUGGUUUGUUAUUCUAAUUAUUAUUAUUUAAUAUUUAUUAUAAUAUUUGUCAUAUCAUUAAAAAGAAAUAAUAAUGAUGAUAAUAUUAUCAUUAUUGUUUGUUACAUUAUUAUUAUUCAAAAAAAUUAUUGUUAAUAACAAUAAUUACUUUAUUUCAAUAAUAAUAAUGAUGAAAUUAAUAAUAACAAACAUGACAACAACAAUAAUUAUUUAUUAUGCCAAAAAUAACAAUAAUAAUAAGAAUAAUAAUCAUCAUCAUUUUUUUCCCAAAGAAGCAUUAUCAUCAUCAUUUAAAAAAAAAAUCAUCAUCAUCAUUUUUGUAGUUACUGUUUCAAUUUAGGAAGAAGCUGUUUCGUUGUGCUAACGAUGGGAGAUGUUGUGGCUGCGAUUCGGGGAGCUACUAGUUUAUUGCACUAAUGACGACAGGUGCGGCUGCUUGAUGCGAGGUCCAUGGCCAGUUGUCAGCAGUUCGACUUUGGUAUGGGCGUUGCUGGUUCGAUUUUAGGUGUUGUCUAAUUUCAUUUUCAGGAUUUUAAUUUUAAUUUUUUUUUAUAUUUUCAUUAAUUAAUCAGUGCAAAGUUUGAUUUUAGAAUUUGGAAUGAAGGUAAUUUUGUUAAUCAUGGAAAUGAGAUUCUGAUUGUCGAGAAUGAACUUACAAAAUUGCUGCAAAUUAAGUGAAAACAAAACGCUUUUUCUCUUUGUGUGAUUAAAACAUGAAAUGUACCAUAAAUAAAUAGGUAAAAAAUAAAUCAACACAAUUCAAAAUAGUAAACCAAUUACAAGAGGCACAAAUUUUUAUGUGAAAUACCGAAAAUGAAAAAAAACUAUAGCAUCCUAGUCUAAUAUAAUCUUCUACUAUAUUAAUGGGAUUACAGCACAAAUUCUUCCCUAUCUAACACUAGAGAUUAACAAUAUCAAAAAUCUCAAUAAUCUUAACUUACAAUACAACCUAAUAUAUGUCUCUCUAAUAAGUAGAUAUCUAAAAUAACAGUCUCUAAUAAGUAGGUAUCUCAAAUAAUAGUUAAUAAGAGGAUAAAACAAAAAUUAAGAUUAGUAGAAUGUGUAUAAGGCGAUGCUAUCAACUUAUCUUCUAAAUUUGAGAAAAAUAGUUAAAUUCACUUUUUCGAUUGUACGACCAAAGAUGGAAACCCUUGCCCCAAAACCAAAGGAAUCACCAUUGUGUUUUUUUUCUCUCUUUCUCUUUCUCGUUCUUCUCUUCUACUUUUCUUAAUGUUAGCCGCCACUUGCUUUUAUUCUUUAUAGCAUUUAAAAAGCUACUUUUAAUGGUAAAUUCAUCUAAGUCCAAAACUUAGUGAUAAUUGCACACCAAACAAUCCUUUUUGGACUAUGGACUUUUGGGCCUCCAAAUGAGAUGAAUACAACAAAUCUCCCCCUUCAGAUUAUGUGGGGGGCACUACAAGCCCGCUCUCUGCAUAUAGCUUUUCAGCUUCUCCUUGAAUAAUGACUUUGUCAUCAUACAUAACCCAUUCUUCGUUGUGUAAAUCUUCUCAAGCUAUAACUGUUCUUUCUCAAGCACGUCUCAUAUCUAAUGAUAUCUCACAUCAAUUUACUUAGAUUUCGAAUGGUAUAUCAAAUUCUUUGAACGGCACUCUGACUGUCGCAGUACAUAACAUAGUUGUCUCAUUUUAUAUCCAGCUCUUGUAGGAAAUUCUUCGUCCACAAUAUUUUUUUGCAACCUUCAAUAAUUGUAAUAUCAUUUGCUUUAGUGGUAGAAAAGGCAACUUAUUACUAAAGUUUAGAUUGCGAUGAGCUCCCCCUGCAAAAGUGAGCAAACAUCCUAGUACGAAUUUUUCGGAAUCAACAUCUCCUGCCAUAUCUAUACACUUGUAACACAGGUUUGUCACCACCAAAAUAUAAACAUGCUCUGGAAAUGCCUUUAAGAUAUCUGAGAAAUUUUCACUGUUGUCCAGUGCUCUUUACCGGGAUUGAAGAGAAACCACUGACUACACUAGCUGUAUAAGCAAUAUCUGGUCUUGUACAAAUUAUGGCGUACAAUAAACUGCCAACUGCUGAAGCAUAAGGAACUCCUCUCAUGGAGAAAUGGGUUUUGCUCUUGAGAAUUUUGGGAACAUAAAGAAUAAAGAUGUAAUUUCUUGGACUGCCAUUGUUUCGAGGUAUAUAAACAGAAGACAAGUCGAUAUAGCUUGACAAUGUUUUGAUCAGAUGCCAGAACGAGAUUAUGUCUUAUGGACUGCCAUGAUUGAUGGGUACCUUCGAGUGAAUAGGUUCAAAGAGGCUUUGACGCUUUUUCAGGAGAUGCAAACUUCAAAUAUAAUGGGAGACAAGUUUACCAUUGUUAGCAUUCUUACAGCUCGUGCCAAUCUGGGGGCACUAGAUCUGGGAGAAUGGAUAAAGACUUAUAUUGACAAAAACAAAGUCAAGAAUGAUAUAUUUGCGGGGAAUGCUUUGAUAGACAUGUACUGUAAAAGAGGAGAUGUUGAGAAAGCUCAAAAGGUAUUCAGGAAGAUGCUUUGAAAGGACAAAUUCUCAUGGACGACCAUGACUGUUGGCCUUGCCAUCAGUGGCAAUGGUGAUAAAGCUCUUGAUAUGUUUUCCCAAAUGCUUAGGGCUUCGAUCAAACCGGAUGAGGUAGCUUAUGUUGGUGUUCUGUCUGCCUGUUCUCACAAUGGUAACGAAACUUUUGUGAUAAAUAGUUGCAACUUAAGGUGAGAAUUGGAGGAAAGGAAAUAGACUGAAGUUGUUCAAUCAUCAGUGGUUGCUAUUUGGUUUUAAGUUGUUCAAUUAUCGGUCGUCUCUAUUUGGUUUUCUCCAAUAUCUCAUCUUCAGUUUUGACUCAGAUUCUAUCUUACCACUAUUGUUCUGUUCAUUCUAUUUGUUUCCUACAAAAUAUUUCUCCUGCCUAAAAUUUUUUGAAUCAGUAAGUUUUUAUCUUAUGCAAGAAUUGUGCUGAGAGUAAUUCCAUUUCUCAGUCUCGUUAUGUUUCAAUGAAGACGUAAAACUUGUGUUCUAGUGCACCAAUGUUUAUGCUUCUUACAAUUUGACUUUAAUUUACUUUGUAAAAUUUUUGUCAAAAAGUACUAAAAAGUAGUGCACCAAACACCAACUUUAUUAUAGAGAGGACUUUAGUUAAAUUUUAAGAAAACACUCAAAAGAAAGAGUUAUAAUUUAUUAUAGAAAUAUUUCACAUAAAUAAAAGCCAUCCCAUGCUGCAAAGAUCUUGCUAUAAUCACCAAAAACUAUCGGGAGCUUUUAGGGUUUCCAUAAAAAUGUCAUUUCGUUCCAAAAGUCAAUGGUGGGUAGAAAGUGGUGCAAAUGAGACUCAUUCUUAAUGGUAUAAGUUUUUGCUUAAUUAUGUCUUCCCCAAGAUGAUGAUUUAAUUUCCAUUCUCAAUUAAUUUUCAAGUUUCAACACUUUUCUAUGUAGCAUGACAUUGGAAAGAUCUUGUACAGUUGUACUACUAAAAGCUAGCAUCACACGUUAGUUAUUGUUAAGUUCUGUUUCAACGUGAAAUAAAGGAAGUAGUCCUUCAUUAAAACCAUUAUAGCCAAAUUUCACCUAAUUGGACACUUACAGACUUUCAUUUCAAGUUGGAUUUUGGUCCAACGUUUCAAAGUUUGGCCCAAUUAUUUUUGUCCGGUCAAGUCCUACGCAGCUAAGCCUCUCAAUGAAUGAGGGUGAGAUUGCUAAAAAUUACGACAGGUGAUAUUUUAUUAUUAUUAUUAUUAUUAUUUUUGGGGGAUAAAUCCUCACCAAAGUGAGGAGAUUUUAUCCAAAUCAAAAUAAAAAUAUAACAAGAACUGAAAGUCGGGCAGCCUAAAAGCUAGAUGAACUAAAAGUCAGGCGCCUAAAAACAACCUUAUGCAAAAGAGAAGCAAUAUGAGACCGAUCAAGUAAAAGAAUCCACCGCAACACCUAAAUUGGCCAAAUUAUCUGUUGGUAUUACAAGUUUCUUGUUAUAAAAGUGUAGAAUGAAGUAGGUGACGUAGUUUUAAGUUACAGCUGCAUGCCCAAUCGCAAUAUCAAAUAAUGCUUAAAUAUCAAAUAAUGCUUAAAGUAGUUGCCUAGGCCCGCCACAACUUAUAUUAACUCUUAAAUUUAUAAAUAAUUAAAUUUUUAAAAGUUUGGAUUUAUAUUAAAAAAUCUUCAUAUAAAUAAAUAAUAUAUGCACUUUUACAACAGUCUUUAAAUUUAAAUUUUUCAAAAAAAAUCUUCUGUAUAUCUUUUCUAUUAAAAAAAUUUCCAUAUAAAUAAAUAAUAUACCUAAUUUAAUUGGACCGAGCACAACGCACAUGCAUAGAACACAUUCCGAAAAGCCAUGCUAUUCAGAAAUUGACGAAUGAAAAGUGAGGAGGCAGCAGUCAAUGCUAUUUCGGCUUGGCCCAAAAUUGAUUUAUCAGUUUGACGUGUGCCAGGAAUGAAGAACUGGAAUAUCACCGUCAAGCAGCACCCUGUGGAGCAAUACCAUAGAAUGCACAAUCUGGCUUUGCCAGGUGACACUGGAGGCUUUUUGAAAAGUGCUUCAAAAAGCCUUUUCUGAUCGAGUCUGAGCACUCAAAUUUUGGUCCUCAGAUGGAGCUACAGCUUUCUCUCCAAUAACCAACAAUUUUCUAAACUCAGCUCCUAGUGUGAUGAGAGUUGUUGAUAUUUGUAAAUGGAGAUCCCCGUAUUUGCAAAUGGAGACAUUUACCAAAUCACCAACAUGCUUCAUCCAGUCUACGAAAUUCUGCAGCUGAUUCAAAUCCGGAACCUGAACCAGAGUCGGAGGUAAAUCUUGAGCCAUAUCUAAAGCAGUCUGAAGUUCAAGUACUUGAGCCCUUGACAAUGGUUUUGAAAUUGGAACAUCUUGGAUUACUGCAGACUUGUACCCCUUGGUUUCAAAGGUAAGGAAAGGCAUUGCUUGAGUACAAUUUGGAGGCAGCUUCUUCACCAAUUUUAUUUGGAGGCAAUUGGCAGCGGAUCCAGCUGCACCAAUUUCAGAGCAAAUACUGACACUACUUCAAACAGCACGCUGAAGAAGAGAUAUGUCUAUGGCAAAGACAAUGCAGUCCUCAUUUUGACUUGAGAUGCGGUAAUCAUCAAAGAGAGUUUCCUUGUGAAACUGGGCAACACAUUGAAUCCCUUCACCACUGAGAAGGUUGUGGAGGAAGCAAGCUUUCUCUCUAGUAAGGAAGAGGUGGCAUACCUUCCCCAUUUUGUCUAGGACAGGUAGGAAUCUUUUUUCUAAGAGAUUUACUCCAUUCUCUGUGAGAAAUGCUUUGAACUUCAUCCCUCUGUCUCUAUCCUCACUUAUCAGUAAAAUAGUUGAAAGCACUACAAGGAGAGAAAAGAAGAGUAUUAAGAUAUAUAUAGACAAGAAAAACAUUAGAUGUCGAUCUUACAAGCUAAUACUUCAAACAGUAUCCUAGAAAGCUAAAAACUGCAAAAUGGCUUGAAAUUUGAAAAGAACACAUGCUUUUCCUCCUUAACUUGAGAAAAUGUUUAAUAUAGUGCACCUUACAGAAACAUUUAAGCAAUUAGAACUUUGCACAAAAACAUUCAAGAAGACUAAACAAAUCAGAUGCAGUGUAUUUCUCCAAGCACAAAUGGCAUUGCAUUUUCUCCUCAACUGUAAUAUUUAUUGAUGAAAAUCAGUACAGGUCCCUCAUUUGUUAUGGAAAGCUUUCUUGUAGUCUGACCGGUUAAUUCACGGGUCUAUAAUCAUCUUGCAAAGUUACAGGCAUUUCUUUCGAUUUAAAGUCUUUGCAUCACCACCUCAUCACACACCAAGCCAAUAUUCCGUCUACCUCUACAACAAAAAGUUUUAAGUAAACGAUCCUAAUGCAUGCAGCCAAAUAAAAUGCAGUAAGAAUAUUCAACUUAAAACUCUGAAAGCCAUCUUGGUGAAUUGCCUCCUUAGGGGAAGUUCCAUGCUUUACUAUACUUGACAGGACUGAGCAAAAGCUUCCAUACGACAGAUUUUGACAAUAAUGAUGCCAACAGAUCCUCAUUAAAUCCAUUAAAACUCCAAAGGUUCAUUGUUCAUGGAUGUUUACAGAGUUUUGGUCAUCAAAUAGCUCAGACCACAAUCCCAAACAAAAAAGGAGUGAAAAUUAGAUCACCAGCAGCUAAUUGUAAAUUCUAACUUAACUCUUCAUCUCCUUUGUAAACAGGAGACAAAAUGGAGACACGCAAAAUGAAUAAGGAGAACAUUUGAACUCAAAUGAAAUGAGGGCACGAAAUCAAACAAAUGGCAUGCGCAAACAAACCAAGCCUCAAUCAAAAACUAAAUAACCAUUAAGAAAAAAAAACUGGUCAGAGAAUGAACUCCAAAUUCGGGAGUGAAGCAAGAAGCUUUCAUUAUUUCAGAAGCUCCUGUACAAAUUAAUAAGUUAUGCUCUUUGGAAACAAACCUAAAUUCCAAGAGAAACAGAACUCAAAAAAUUUGCAAUUAUACGCAAAGGAAGCGAAGCACAGCAUUCUAUCACACGUACAAAUUGUAUAACAAGAGAUCGACACAUCGAAUCAGAAGAAUUCAAUUCAAAUUUGUCUCAAAAAUCAAAAUUAGAAGAUUUCACAUUUCGAGAGGAACAAGCGACAGGUCAGAUGCACAAUUUUCAACCACAACAUGCCACAAUUAACGGUUUAUUUCCAUGGAUUUAGAGAGCUGACUGACCUUUUGGCUUUUGGAAUUGAGAAGAACGCGCGCCAAAAUGGAAGAGGGAAAGCGAAAGUGCGGGUUUCAAUAGGGUAUUGGAUUAGCAAAUUUUAUUAGUUUGCGAGGGUAAAAUAGGAAAGAGAUAUCACUAUUAACUUUUUUUUUUAUAAGAAAAAAGAAUAAUAAAGAAUAUUUUAUUGUCAUUUGCAGCAUUUAAUUUUUUUUAAAUGCUAUUAGAAAAAAACGACAAUAAAGAAAUGCUCUUUUUUUAUUUUUUUCUCGAAGGUAAAAUCAAUUAUUUAGCGUCUUAUAUGUAAUCUAACUCCAUUUCUUACUUUAAGUCAUAUCCAACUGACCAAUAAAGUAAUUGUUUUUUUUUUCAUUCAUUUUUACAGAAAAUUAAUAUUGAAAGCUAUUGUAAAAAUUUUUAUUAUCAACCUCAUAGUUUAAUUUUUUUGGGGAAGAAUUGAAUUUUUUUUUUUAAUUUCCAAGAAUUUCAUUCUCUAGUUUUUCCAUUAAUAUUACUUAUCUUGAUACCCAUCUUAAUUAAAAUCUGUAGUUUUAUUCAGGAGUCAUGCUAUUCAUUCACUCACAGACCAAAGGCUUUCCGCAGCAAUAUUAUUAUUUAAAUUACAACAAAGGGGAAAUCAAAUACGUCAUACAGAAGCUUAAAGCUGAAUCUACAAAAUCUAGAGCUCUCAACUACAAAAAUUACACUUGAUGAUCCUCUACAAGAUGAAACUUGUUCAAUAUCUCAUCCAAAGCUUGUAAAGUAACCUUGUAACGAUCUUGAGAUUGCCUGCCUUCCUCGACGACCUGCACGAUGCGUUUGUACAAAUCAUCAUACCUGUGCACCGGAUUUUUAAUAUCAACGCCACUGCAGCUGUGAUCAAGAACAUAAGAGCGUUUAACAUCUUUUCUCCAUCGAGAAAGAAUGUAGUGAGGUGGGAUCUCCUGCAUGCCACUCUGGUUUAGAACACAAAGAAUGUGUCUGCAUAAAUAUCCUCUGAAAUUGAACAACCCACAAACACAAAGCACCUCCUGCAUAAAUAUCUUUCUCGUUGCUACCAAUCUCAAAUUCUUCCUUCACUAUCUAUGUUAUAGGUCCAUCAGCACUGACAUGUUUUGUGCUAUAGCAAGAGUACAUAGCCUCCACCUCCGUCUGAAACUUCCUUAACAUUUCAUUUGUGUACAGUUUUGAGAGUUGAAAUUCAUAGUAACAUCUUGGUUUCUGGAUACAACUUGAAUUUCUUGAAUCCAUAUCUGCCAAGGCUUCCAGUUGAUAAUUCGCCUGCAGUGCUUGAUCAUACUUGUCUAAGAAUUCUUUCAAAGGAGUACUCUUAUCAAGAUAUCCUUCAAAGUAUGAAGUAGAAACCUCAUUCUGCAGGAAUGAAAACACUCCUGAUAAAAAUGCUUCCUUCAAAUAAACAGGAGCCCACCUUUUACGAUCUUCAUAUAAAGUUUGAAUCCAUCCAUGAUCCUUUAUUCCAUGACGUUGAAUCGUGUCCUCCCAAGCUGUCUCAAAUUCCUCAGGCCUAAGAGAGUGAUAAAUUGCUCUAUGCAAUGCAGCUCUAACAGCUUCAUAUUCAAACAAUCCUUGGAGUUUCUCUGAAAUUUUUUGCAUGACGCAUGACAAUGAAAAGCAAUGAUAAGCUCUUGGGAAAGCAUUGCUGACGGCAGUUUUCAAGAUUCUACAUUGGUCAGUGAUGAUUGUUUGUGGACAGCGUCCUAACAUACAUGUAAGCCACGCCCUAAACAACCAUGUAUAUGAUUCUAUAGUCUCACUGGCGAGUAAACCACAGCCCAACAGCACUGAUUGUCCAUGAUGAUUCACCCCAAUGAACGAAACCAGUGGUACAUCAUAUCUUUCUGUCAAGCAUGUAGUAUCAAUUAAGACUACAUCACCAAAGUACCUAUAUGCAACUCUUGACCUGGUAUCAGUCCAGAAGAGGUUUCUCAGGCAUCCCUUUUCAUUUAGAUCCACCACAUUAAAAAAGUUUGGAUCUGUCAACUGCAAACGACAAAAGAAACUCUGGACAGCUUGUGCAUCUCCUGGUUUAAGCUUCAAUUGAUUUGAGCUAUUAACAUCAUUUCCAAAUACUCCAUUAACAUCUAUAUUACCAUUUCCCUCGGUAUCAAGGAUAAGAGUUCGAAACAGUCUAAUUUUUUGAACUUCUUCAGCACCAUCUAAGAGCAAUGUUCUUUUGGUUCCAAUACCCAUGUGCUUAUGAGACUUGUAAAACUUUCCGCUUCUUGGGCUUAACAAACGGUUAUGCUCAAGCUUGACUUCAAUGAUUCUCCACCUUUUGGUUUCCAUCAACCUAAACUUUAUCAUUGCUGGACAGCCAGUUCUUGUUUCUGGUCUUGGGCGGUUUGCCUCGCUUUUCUUCUUUAAGCCUGCACUACUACAGCUCAGCUUUCCUCUAUACUUUUCUCUACUCUUUCGGUACCAUGUAUUGCUAACUCUAACACCAAAACCCUGUUCCUUGGCAUAGCAAUUAUAAAAGUAAUAUACGUCAUCAUACGUCUCAAACUCCAUCCCAACAGCAGGAGGCAAUGGAUUUUGGAUUAUCCCAGUUUGUCCAACAUAUUCAGUCAUCGCACAAUCUCCUAUUCAAAAUCAUCAGCGUCAUCAUCACCUACGGGUUCAGUAUUCAGAGAAACUUCAUCCAUCUACAAUAGAUGUUUAAUGAAGUGAGCUUUAAGGAGAAAAGGCAAAAUCAGUUCAAGGAAUGAUAAUAAAACCGUACAGUUACUUUCACAAAGCUUCGUAUUUCAUCACUACUUUAACAACAUGCAACUGCCUGAGAACAUACAGACAUGUCAUAGAUGCUUGAAUUAAGUAUUGAUACAAAUUAGCACACAUCAUGUGGGACACAAUUUCAGUCACUAAACCCAAUACCUUUUUUUUACAUCAUACCAAGAAACAGAUUAAACCCAAUACCUUCUUUUACGCCAUACCAAAGAACAGAUUAAAUCAUCAAUGAAAAAUUAAUCACAUAAUAAUUUAACUAGACAAUUGAAGAGCUCAAAACAGCACAAUACUUGAAUCUGAUUAUGAUAAUUGUUGAGUCCUUGUAUCGACAGCUUUCCUUCAAUGAGAAGAUUAUGAACAUAAACUACACACAAAAAAAAAAAUUAUUUAAACUGACAGCCCAUGAUAUAAAUCAAACAAAAUUAACUCCUUUUACAAAUCACAUCUUGUAUUCAUUUACAUCGAAACAUAAAAAGGAAGCAGGAGCCAAAAAAAACAACAGCACAGAAACUUCUUUCCAUAAGGUUUACGAAAUAAGGAAUUUAUUAAGACACAAAAUUUGAGGUCACCUAUAAUAAUUUGGUUCUCAUUCUCUUUUUCUUCAUUUUUCACUUAUUGAUGGAGUUAGCAUACAAUCCUAAAUGAUAAAACCCCAUCUCCAUUUUUGAACUAGAGCUAAAGCAAAGCAUUUUAGGAUUCAUCAUUUUUUUUUCUAAAAGACUCAAUAGUACAAUGUUUUUCAAUAUUAAAUACACAACUCAAUCUUCUCCUAAUUUACUCUAAUAAUCUCUUAACUUAGGAAGAUUAAGCUCCACUUGUAAGCUAAAACAAUUUUCUUAAAUCAAGCCCCAAUGCUCUAUACUAUUCAACAAGGCCUCAUAAAUGAUAAAACUACCUCUACAAAGAUACCCAUUUUAGUUUCGCAAACUAAAAUCAAACUCCUGAAACGUAACGAGCAUUAAAACAAACAAGUCCGAACAAGAACUGAAAAAUCAUACAUAAACUCGUUUACACGCUUCGAAAAACACUUUGAAAUUCAAACGAAACAUACCUUAGGUUGAUAAAUUAGUAGCGCAAAAGAAAUUUUAGUGAGAUAUGGGAUCAGGGUUUUUGCCACGGUGAUGUUAAUUGCGACAUUGGGGUGACUCAGCAGCCUUCGAGGCUGAAACUUUGAUUGACCAAAAGCUUCCCGUUCGUUGAUUAUCUAAUUGCAGAAACGAAACUCGCAGUGUACAGAAGAAGUACGCUGAUUUGAUAAUUCUGUGAAAAUCAUUGUUUUUUUGAGAUUUUUAAUGUGUUCGGUAAAUAUCAAAAUCUCAAAAACUUGUCUUUCAUUUUGGGGGGAAAAACCCAUUGAGAUCCUUAUGUUUUUUCUUAUAUAAUCUGGCUUAAUAAUUUGCAAAGUCUAUUACUUUGCACCCAUGCAUGCUGCGUUUCAAUUUUACAAAAUUGUACGUGAGUGCAUCCAGCUAAAAUUUGUAAAAAGAAAAUAACAAUAACAUGUUAAAAAUGUGAUGAUUAUGAAGAAAUUUUAAUUUAGUUAAAUAGGUGACGAUGGAUAGGUAUAAAAUCUGAGAUCUUUUAUGAGAUUAAUAAGUAUGUUGAGUUUGGAUUAGUUCAAUUUUGACAUAAUACAGAAUAAACACAAUCUGCUAAUCUAAGUUAUCAUCUUUUCUCGUCAUCAGGUACCUGUUUGAAAAAUAAUUAUAUACAAUUUUAUUUGCGUUGUCUCUCCAAAAAUUUUGGACUCGAAUGUUAUUUUUAAUUGCUAAAAGUACGAAAAUGCCCCCUUUCUCUUCAGCUAAAGGAGUGCAAAGUCAUCUGUAUAAUUGAAUCUGCAUCAUCAGUUUCUAUUGCUGGCUGGUGUUACUGCAUGCUUACAGUUGCUUGACAAAGUGAGCCAGUUUUUUGUUUAUUAAUUUUUUUUCUUGUCGAGACAGUCACAAAGUAUUACUUGUUCCAUAUGAGAAUGAUGUGAAUCAAUUUUUCAAUUAUGCAUUCUGUGGUAAUUAUUGUGAAUUUAGUUUCAUUUGUCUUGUCUCCUGCAAAUUUUGAAGAAAAUGCAGACAUACAAACUUACAAUAUGGAAGAGUUCACUGGAAAAAACUUUGUGAAAGCUUCCAAGUGAAACAGGGAAUGGGCUUACUAGUAAAGGACAAAUUGGUGGCCAGCUAAUGCAUUCAUUCUAUGUCCAUUCAUCUUUUCGAAUUAUUGAAGACAAGUGGCUCACCACUUUUAGUAUUGGUAAAAUUCAGAUAAUCUCUAUUCCGAAAUAAUAAUAUUCAAAAUAUCUCUUAAAUCAUUAUAAACCUGAAAUCUAUUUUAAUUUUAUUUAAAAGAUAAAAGAAAAAUAGGUUAUGUUGGUGAUUUUUUAUUAUCUUUUUAAUAAAAAUGAAAUAAAUUGAUGUUUAUAAUUAUUUAAAGUAUUUUAAAGAUUGCUAUUUUAUGAGAGAAUAAUAUUUCACUUUUUUAGUGUGAAAGAUUGAAAAAGGACAAACCAAGUUUCCCUAAUUUUUAUUUUAUUUGAAAUUGGUCAUCUCACAUACUUCACCCUUCAACAUUAUAAUUUUUUUGGUUAUAAUUUUAUUAUUUUUUCUCUUUUACACAUGCAUGUGAAUUACUUUUCUUUAAGCUCCUGAAUAUUUAAGACAAAUCAUGGAAGAGAUGAGAGUAUAACAAGAUGAUCAAAAUAUGUAACAAAAAAAUUUUAGAAGUGAAAAAUAUGUUAGAGUCGAAGUAAAACUCUGAGGUGAUGUUUGAUUUGAAGAAAAUGGAGGAGAGGAAAAGAGUGGAAUGGAGAGGAAAAUAGAG